GUUCUAGAUAAGUGUUGAAAGACUAACAUAUGCUUUUUCUGUAAAUGGAAGUCUCAAUUUGCAUAAUCGAAAGUUGAAAACUAACAAAUCACAUAAUGUCAUAAGACAACAAAAAAAUGCAAUAAAGCCCAGUUGAAAAACAGGUAAUUAUUUGACCUGAAAUAAAAAAUACAUAAAUCACAAAUGUAAAGAUUAAUACUUGAAACAGAAACGGUAAGAUAUUUGAAACUUAUUUUUGAAGUCUCUGUUUUGGAAAGAAAGCUUGCGGUAGAUACUAAUGGAGGCCCAAAUAUAGUUGUUCGUUUUCUCCUCUGCCCUCUGUAUCUUUGCUACUUUUCUUCAGAACCCAAAAACUGAAAUCUUUGGAAGGAGUAAAAAUUGACUCAAAGACCAAUCUUUUUCCCCCCUAUCCAUAAAGUGGUAGCGGAUAAAAUGCCUCUGAAAAAGUGGAAGUAGGGAUUAAUGCGAAUAAGACCUUACAAAAUACAAAGUUCCGGCAAAGAAUCUUAAUCCACACAAGAUAUUACCAUUACAUUUUACAUGGUAAAACACAAGAAACUAAAAGACAUGGGUUUCAGUUCCCUUCACCAUUUGGAUAAACCUUUCUCUGCACUUUUAGUUUUCCUCUUACAUUCAUCAUUAUUUUGCCGCUAUGCCAAGAAGGACUAGUGAACAAGGCAAGGCAAGGAAUGUAAGAGGAAGAGGAGAGAGAGACAAACCAUGAAACAAUGUCCUCUCUCUGUCUCUCAUAUAUCAAUUCAUAAACCAUAGCUACUCCAACUUCAAUCUCUUUCUUCCUUAAUAAAUAAACAAAUAAACCCAUAACCCCACCCACAAAGCAACUUAAUUUUCCCAUCCUAGAAUAAUUACCCGACCAUUACCACUAUUAUAAAACCAGUUACGAUAAAAAGCCCUUUCCAUUUCCCAAAAUUUUCGAGCUUCCUAAUUAAUUGUGCAUUCAAGAGGAAGCACUCCAAACCAAAACCAAAACCAAGCAUCAUUUUACAACACCAAACCAAACCAAGCACAUCGUCAUAAUUGUUCCACGAAAGAAGAAUGCUCCCCAUCACCUGCAUUCUUUUAAUGUGCCUUCUAAGUUCUUUCUCCCCCCCAAUUGAAGCUCUCCUCAACCUCACCGUACUACCCCACCAACACCCUCACCCUGAAUCCAUAGUCCACGAACUUCAACGGUAAACAAUCUUUCAACAACCCAACAACCCACAUUAUAUACUUCUGCUUCUCCCACCUCUCAAACACUAAAAAUUUCGCUGCUUUCUGUUUUGGUGAUGCAGGAAGGUUAAUGUCUCGUUAUGGAGAAGGCAAACACUGUCCAAGGACCAACAAGCCUCGUGUCUCACCGGAAACCCCAUCGACGACUGCUGGCGGUGCGACCCCAACUGGGGGGCGAACCGGCAGAAGCUGGCGGAGUGCGGCAUCGGGUUCGGCAAAGACACCGUGGGCGGGAAGGGCGGGCAGAUCUACGUGGUGACGGACUCGUCGGACCGCGACCCGGCCAACCCCGUUCCCGGCACGCUCCGGCACGCCGUCAUCCAAGACGAGCCUCUCUGGAUCGUGUUCGCCGCGGACAUGACCAUAAACCUUAAACACGAGCUCAUCUUCAACAGCUUCAAAACCGUCGACGGAAGGGGCGCCAACGUCCACGUCACGGGCCACGGCUGCAUCACGCUCCAGUACGUCUCCGACGUCAUCAUCCACAACAUCCACGUCCACCACUGCACGCCCUCAGGGAACACCAACAUACGGGCUAGUCCAACGCACGUUGGGUGGAGAGGGAGAUCGGACGGCGACGGCAUCUCCAUCUUCAGCUCCCGGAAGAUCUGGAUCGACCACUGCUCCCUCUCUUACUGCACGGACGGCCUGAUCGACGCCAUAAUGGGCUCCACCGCGAUUACCAUUUCCAACAACCACUUCGCCCACCACGACGAGGUCAUGCUCUUGGGACACAACGACAAGUACUCCCCAGACAGAGGCAUGCAAGUCACCAUUGCGUUCAACCACUUCGGCGAGGGUUUGGUUCAGCGCAUGCCACGUUGCAGACUCGGCUACAUCCACGUCGUCAACAACGAUUUCACCCAGUGGGAGAUGUACGCCAUCGGCGGCAGCGCCAACCCCACCAUCAACAGCCAGGGUAACCGUUACACCGCCCCCUCCAACCCUGAUGCCAAAGAGGUACACUGAAUCAACCUUUUUUUUCAUUAUUUCACUCUUUUUAAUCUUUAUUAUUUAUUAAUAUCAAUAAUCUCAACCCUCCUAAAAAACUCUUUUUUUUUUCUGUUCUUGGAAAUGGGAAUGAACUGUUGCUUAUAAUCGUAAUAAUAAUGUCAUGUGCCUGCCCACUGUGCUUCUUUUGUUUGACUCCUGUUUGGAACGAAUAUAUGCUUUCUGGAGGAAUAUUGUAGUCGCGUGGGCGGCGCGUGAGGUGGUUUUGUUGAUGAAGUGAGGGUUUGGUUGUGUUGGAAUGGCAGGUGACGAAGCGCGUGGAAACAGACGACAGGGAGUGGAGUGGUUGGAAUUGGAGAACGGAAGGGGACGUAAUGGUAAAUGGAGCAUUCUUUGUACCGUCGGGUGCAGGGAUGAGUGCACAGUACGCGGAGGCCACCAGUGUGCAACCCAAAUCCGCCGUGCAAAUUGACCAGCUCACCAUGUAUUCCGGUGUCUUCGGUGAUCCCAGGUAUUUUAUUAAUAAUAAUAAUAAUUAUUAUAUCACCUUUACCUUUUAAUUUUUUUAUAUAAUUAUAAUAUAGUAUUCUUAUGCGCGUAUUAUUAUUCCCUUUUCAACUGAGUUCUCUAAUGGAAUAAUCUGGCCCUACAACGGACAUUACCUGUCUUCUUAACUGUCCUUAGAAAGGGUAGUGUGGUCUAUUGGUGUGUUAAUGUUAGUAACAGUGCUGUGUGAAAAGGUUAGUGUGGUCUUUUGGAAACAAGGAAAUGACGCGAAUGCCCCUUACUCUGUCUGUCUGUCCCACAUGCCUCUCACACGGUGCAGCACAGCAGAGUGCCAACUGUGCGGUACAAGUUGUUCGGAUUCUGAUUGGGUUGGUGUUGAAUGAAAAGUUGUGUGGAACAUUGUAAAAUGUUUUUUACGUCUUGUUUCCCAAACCUUGGUUUAUGCUAAAACUCACUUUACAGGGUUAGGUGUAGUAGUAAUUGGACUGUUAUAGAGGAACCCGAGAUUGGGAUUAGCAAUGGUGAUUAAUAAUUAACUAAAUCAGAGGAAAGUGGAGUCUUUUUGGCCAUGCACGUGAUCGUGAGGUCAUUGGAAAAGGAGAAUCUCUGCCUCAUGGCCCAACACUUAACAGCCCCAGUUACAGUUCAUUUGUCUUCAUUCACCUUUCUCUUCCAAACUUCACCUUACACCACAUUAUAUUAAAAAGAUUAUUCUUUUCUUUCUGUUUUUUUUUGGAGAUUUUGAAAGCACCACACUUUUGUUUAAAUCCCCUCUACCCUCUUGAAUGAAGUGUGAAAUGGAUGGAAGCGCAGAAAUGGGUGAAGGAGUUGAAAUACUAGGGUUGGAGCGUAGUAGGUCCAUGUCAGAUGUUUUGGCUGAAAUUUUAUUCCUUUUUAUGUGCUUUCCAGCAAGUAAACAUGGGACCCUUUCAUUGUAUGAUAACGUGUUUUGAAACCCUUUUGGACCCAUUUUCUGAUUCAACAUGUACCAGUCACAACACACUCAUCAAAGCAGCUUCUCAUUCAUAAUUGGGAAAGUGACUCUCCCCUUAUUAACCCAACCCAACCCUUUUAUCAUACAUGCUGCUACUUAAGAGUAACCCUGCAUCUAAUUUGAAUUGUCAAUGCCUUCUGCCACUUGUUUGGCACAGUUAGCAACUAUCCCUCUCAAUAAAAAAUGAGAAAUUAUUGGAAAGACAAGCUUUUGAGCCAUCUUUUCCAGGAAUGACACAUAAUUUUUGUGAGUUGUACAAUGAAUCUGAUUGGGUAGAUAGCAAAGGGUGUCAAAAACAGAAAAAUGUUGCUAUGCAGGGUCAUAUUAGGUGUCUUGUGAAAUUCAAAAUACUACCUAAACCAAUUUAUUUGGAAUUUGACUUCAUCGCCUGAAUUUGUUGAAUCUAGUCACCCAUGUUUCUUUACACAGCUGCACCCUUUUCCAAUUCCUACUCUCAUCACACACCUUUUAAUUAAUGCCAAUUAAAUCGCCUCCACAACACAACAAAUUAGUUUCAAUAAUACUCAGAAUUACCUCACAUUCUACCUUUUCUUCAAGUUGAAGCCAAUGAAAUAUUUGUCUGUGUGGUUCCUUCUAUUUGAAGCUAAUGCCUUUUCACUUUCCAUUGCCCUUAUUUUCCAUGUCUCUACCAAACCAAAAAAAGUAGCUUUCUUAGAGUUCUCAUGAGUGAAUAAUUGAACAGGGAUAACGGGGAUCUGUAUCCCGGUUUCAACGGUGGUGGGACCGUGACCGGAGCAACCAGCAAGGGCAACAGUGCGGGGUCCAGUGACGACGGAGACUUCUUCGGAAUGAUAUUCAGAGGAAGCAGCAGCCAUGCAGCGCCACCGUCACCACCGUCUUCCUCCACUGUAUUUGUCACAACCUUUUUGUCUCUUCUAAUUAUUCUGAUUUUGGACACUUCCACCACCAACCAUCCCUUUCUAUGAUCACGCAAUUGGGAUCAACAAAGAAAAAAAAAAGAAUGAUCGAAGUUUCUACAAUUUGUUUUUAAAUUUAGAAACUAGGAAUCAUAAUUAGGUAUGUACACACAGCUCUUCAAAGUUAUCAUUAUAUUGAAAUCUAUAUAGAGCUAGUUCCACUAUCAUUGCUCAUUGCUUCAAAUGUAUAGUUUAAUAUAUUCAAAUUUCAUAAUCUGCUUUUACAUUUCUAUGUAUACUCCUUCUUCAACUGUAACUAUUUUAAUUUCAUUUUAUAGACGCAAACUCAUUCUCUUAAAUCUUUAGAUAAUCCAAAACCCAAGCACAUGAUCUUUAAUUCGACUUCAAUAACUUCACAAGAUUUUAGUUUGAAAUUGCGAACAAAAAAUGUAGUAGAAAAUAAUAACUUAUUAAAGGUGGUUUAUUGAAAAAAAUAUGUAGUUUUAAAAAUAUUGCAAAAAUAUUAAGAAAAUGUCAUUAGCAAGAAUUGAACAACUUUUAAUGUCCCUCCAAAAUAUUUAUGUACAAAUAUUCAAUAUGAAUUUAUCUUUAGUAGAAAAGACAUUAAAAGUUGUUCAAUUCAUAAGAACUCAAUUUGUAUCUUAUGAUAACUUGAGUUUAAAUUUCGUUAUUGAUGUGUAAGUGUAUUUUUUUUGUUCUUGAGAUUGAUUUUCUAAUUUUGAUGAAUCUGUUGAUAUAUUUAUAAUUUAUAAUUCUUUAUAUAUUUUUUAAAUCACAUUAAUUAAUUACUGCGACUGUGAUAAAAUUUGUGACAAAAAAAUAUUCAACGUAACAUGCAGAUAAAUUCAAUUUUACCAGUAAUUCUUUUUUUUUAAUUGCCACAUAACUCUUGCCUCUCAUCUUUAUUUCUUUCAUUUCAUGCGUAUAUUAUUCACCAAUUAAUUUCAACAAUGCUUGUUUUUAUUUUAUUUUAUACGAGUUAUGCAAGCUGUACAUUACCAAUAGGAUGACAAAACGGGUUAAUUCAACAAAACGGGUCAAUUCAUUCCCAUUCGUUGUUGAUUUAUCAAAACUGAGGCGGAUCAAAAUGACCUGUUUAGGUUAUGUGGGUUAAAAUUCGUAACCCGCUUUGUUAUUAAAUGGAUUGGCGUAUUUGUCUAUCACUUUUCAAUCUUUGUUUUUGAAAAAUAUUUUUUUAUAUUUUUAUUUUGUUUUAAAUCUAUUUAUUUGAUUGUAAUUAUUGAUAUCACUUUUGAACAAUAAAAAUGUAAAAAACAAUAAUAAAAUUAAAUUAAACUUUAAUAUUCUAAUUGAAUAAAGUUUAAUAUUUAAUAAAAUAAAUAUUAACAAUACUCCAAUGAAUAAAAUGAUAUAUAUAAAAAAAAACUUCAUACCAAUUUCAAUUUUAAAAAUAUAAUAUUUUUUUCAAAAAACACCACAAAUAAAAGAGGGUGAGCAGACAUGUCAUGUCCUGCCCACCUAUAAUCUGAUGGAUUGUCAGGUUAGAUGAACCGAAUCAAUACAAAUUAACGAAUUCAAAAAUUAGCUUGUCUCAUCUAAAUGAAGACGGGUUGAUGGACCGACCCGCUGAACUGACUCUGUUUUGACACCCAUAAUUAUCGGUACAAUAAUUAUUAAAUAUAUGUACUUGAAAUAUUUUUAUUCUAACAUAUAAUUACAAAUUUAUUUUUAUUAUAUAUAUUUAUUUCUAAAUUCAUCAAAUUGUGGGGUCUUGAAGUUGAAGUUGAAUGUGUGGCUUUUGGUCGUGCUUUACUUGUUUCCAUUAUGUAGAAUUUCUACUAAUACAUCAAAAAAUGUCAUAAGUGGCACAUCGACUUCGAAUUGUUUACUUUUUACAUUAUAAUCUUGGCUUUUGAAACGCAUUUAGCGUUUCGUACAUCUAGUUUUGGAAUGAGACUAAACCAUCAAUUUCAUAUUUAAAGUAUAAUUAUUUUUCCUACUUAAUUCCUCAAAUAUUUUUAACUAAUUAAGAGUACCUAAUACUUGAAGACAUUCAUAAAAUAAAUAAUUUUAAAGUUAGUCAAAUAACAUGUUAGUAUAGUAAAUGUGUUGUAGUGUCAUAUUGAGUUAUGAUUCAAUCCCCUUGUAACAAAAUCAACACACUACAAGAUAAUAUUUUAUCAAGAAUAUAAAAAACUAAAAGAAUAAGAAAAAUCAAGAAAAUAAGAUAAAAAUAGGAACAAACCUAUGAUUAUAUAGAUUUAAUUGUAAUGUUAGAGAAACAAACUUCAUUAUAAAAAAAUCAUAAAAAAUCAAGAUAUAUUACUAAAUAUUUCAUCUAAGAAAUUCUUUUUUAUAUUUCAGUUAGAAUAAUUUACAAAAGUGAAAAAAAAACACCAAACAUAUUUUUUCUCAUCACCGUUAAUAAUAUAUGUUUUUAUUAAUAUAUUUACAACUCAUUAAUCAAAUAAUACCAUUGCACUCAUGUGACUAGAUACAAAUGUGUGUUUUUUUUAGUUUUUUAGCCAAAAGUCUCUUCUCCAUUAUUUCUCUCUACUAUUUGUAUCCAAAAUCGUCUUGUUAUGCGAAACAUUCAUAAGUUACUUUCGUAGAUUUUGACUUAUGUUUUGAAAAUUCGUUAUGAAAAUUUUGCCAAUAGGUUAGAUGUUGGUCAUGUGAUUGAGGAACGACUGACUUAAUGUUAUCACAACGUUCAUGCGAACACCAACUUUUUUGAAUAACCCCUUCAAGAAAUAUCCGAGUACCCUACAAUGCAAUAUCUUGCUAAGAAAAUGAACAAAGGUAGGACAAAACAAAAAUUAAAGAUAAAAAAAACAAAACCAAAGAAUUACUAUGCAGAAAAAAAGAUUAAUAAUGAAUGUGUCAAACUAUAAAGACUUGGCAACUAGAGAGUAAUUAGAAGAUAACUAACUGAAAUAAUGAUCACUUAAUAAAAGUAUGUAGGUGCCAUUUUCACGAAUUGAUUUGAAAACAAUGGAAAGAAGACGAUAGGAUAUGAGUGGAUGAAGUGGCAUUUCUACUUCCAUGUCAACUUCUAAGACAAUUUUUUAAUAUUUAAUUUUAAUGUUACUUUUCUAUGUAAUAAUAAAGUGUUUAACGUGACUUGUCUCCAUAUCAAAAAGAAAAUGUUAAACCGUCCAAUUCAAAGAAUCUUCCUAUCUGCAUGUGAAGUAAUAUAACUUCAGAAGACGGUGUCUUUGCCUCAUCCUUUGGCACCAUUCUAUUAAUGCAUUAUCCAUCUAAAAAUAAUAAUGAUAAUAACUAUUCAGAGCACCUAAAAAAUAAUGACUUUUUUAAUAUAUAGUGCUCAUAAAUAAAGAACAUCUAUAUCAAAUAAUACAAGAAAGAAAAAACAAAUCAUUGCUUAUAUUAUAAGGGAGGAGGGUGGAGCCUCAUCCCUUAUUUUAUUUAACCCCUGAAUUUUAUUAAAAUAUUCAAAGUUUUCAUAUUAUGAUCUUAAAAAAAAAAAAAAAUCCCCAUUAAGAUAUCUCUAAUGUAGAAGUAAUAGUGAAAUUCAGAUGUGUGUUUUACAAAACAUUCCAUCGAAACAUGUUUAAUAUAUGAAAUUUAUGAUUUUGGAUAGUAAAAACAAGAAUUGGUUUUUAAAUUUUGAAAAAUUAAAGUAUAGAUAAAAUAAUUUAUUAAAAUAUAGGUCUUAUAAUGUUUGUAUUAUGGUAAAAAUUGCAACAACAAAAAUCUUUCAAAAUAACAUAAUGAAGAGGAGAUUUUUUACUUAAAAACUUAAAAAACAGACAUUUAUAUCUAGAAAUACAAAACACACAUUUAUAUAUGAUCACACGAAUGCUAAUGCUUAGUCAUAGUUACAUAGAAACUCCUUUAAAAAAAACAAUUUCUAAACAAGAUGAUUAAAUUCUAGAAUUGUCAAAGAGAAUAUAUGAGAUCGGUUGUGAAUAAAAUUCCUCUGUACAUUUAGGAUUUACUUAACCCAUUUUAUUGUCACAAACCCUCUUUAUUUAUUUUUAAUUGCCCUCUUCAAUUACAUCAAAAUAUUAGUUUAAAUCUAAAUGAUUAUUAUAAAAAAAAUAUUUCAAUUAAAAAUCAAUCAAUCCGUUUAAUUCACCUAGCCACGGUUGAAUUAAACCGAAUUACAUAGUAUUUAUUCACUCACUAAAAUAAACUGGAUUAAUCUGACUCUUUUUUAAAAAGACUGCUGUUAAGUCACCUGCAUUUACCCAGCAAAGAACGAACACCCAUCUGCUUUAGACACUAUUUUUUGUUCCAAAUACAGAAAUGAUUUCUUGUGGGUGUUUUUUCGUGAUGCAAUAUAAGCUAGUUUUUUUUUUUUUGGCAAGCUGUUAACUGUUAUGCAAAGCAGAAAACCAGACAUAACAUAGCGUUUUGGGUUGGAUUCAUGUAAAAUUGUAAACUAACCGCCAAAGUAUGGAACCAGACAAUCUCAUUCGUUCACUAAAAAAGCAGUGCCAACUGCACCAUUUUUUCAUACACUGAACCAAUUUGGUACAUUAAAUGACAAUUUAAUUGAAAAAUAUAUCUCCGUAUUUACAAUUCACAAGGAGGGAUAGACCAAAGAAACACUGUGUGACCCUUGCUCCCUAAGAAAAAGGACUCGCAAGCUUGCUAAUUUGCAUAUCUUGUGCACCAUGCCGUGUAAUUAAAAUCGGUUUUGCUCUCCAUUACUCUAACUCUAGGGGUAAAGGACGUUAAGAAAUUAUUAUAGAAGGUUUUUAUUGGAAACUUAAAUGUAAAUACAUUAGUAACAGUAAAUGUUACACUUUCCAAUAAAACUUUCUACUCUUAAUUCCUUGACCAUUUUCUUUAGGCAAUGGUUAGUAAAAAUUGAAUUAAAAUAAAAUUAUAAUUCCCUUUCAAUCUUAGGGAAUGUAGCAGUGAUGUAACCCCAGUUCAGGAAGAACUUUCAGCACAGCCACCAACGUGAAAAGAAGGGUUGCAAGCUGAAUACCUUAGUUAACCAUAUCUUCCCUCACGGCUUGAGCAGCCUCUGCGUCCAAUCUCUUCCAAGUUAACAGCCUCUUCGCUUCCAACUCUCUAGUCUUGGCUUCUUUCUCUGUGUACUGCCUUUCACACUCUUCAAACAAUUCGGUAUCCAUCUCCAGAAACAUCUUCCUCACAUUGGCAGUUAGCCCAAUCACUGCCCGGCUCCAGUGGCCUUUCAUGUUAUUUUCCAAAGCUUCAAAGAUUACUGGCAAUAUAACAUUUCGAUUCUGGGCUACUAAACUCAUAAUGUUCUCAUUGUUCCAAAAGUAAAGUGCUCGCUCGGCAACCUGCCAUGGAUAGAAUAAUUGUCAGAGAGCAAUCAAGAGAGAAUAAGAAACAUUUCCUUUACUACAACAUCAAAGGAUGAUAAUUAUCAUUUAUCAAAAGUUGAUAUUAUUAUAUUAUAACGUUAUAAUAUAUAAUAAAAUCUGACUACCACAAUGCAUUACCCAUUAAACUAGAUCCAAAUUCAAAAUGUCUUGUGACACAAUUUUCCAUGGCCGAGGUAUCUAAUCAUUUUACAUCUACAUAGCUUAGAUAUCAUAUUUAAAUAGCCUCACAGUGAGUGAGAAGGGAGAUUUCAAAUAUCAGCCAAAGUGAAGCAAAAAAUAGCAGACAAACUAUGCCAGUUUAUAGUUGGUUAUUUUUUCAAACAGACAAGAAAACGAGGCCAUCAAUAUUGUAGCUCAUGUCACAUUAGCCAAAAAAUUAUCUGCGUAUGCUCAAGGAAUCAAUGGAAGGAACUGUUACAUCAAAAAGUGUUGAGUAACUUCUAGCUAAAACAUUCAAUGCAUAUGAAUGUCUGUACAUUCAAUGCAUAUGAAUGUCUGUAACCUCCUUUUUUGUGUUAAGAAGGUCAGUAUAUAUAAGCUCUUAAGAUUAACCUCCAUACUUAUUUCCGGUAUUAAGCCUGGGAGAAUAAGAGGUCAUGGGACCUAAACCCUCGCAUCUCAAGGUGUCAUCUCAUCUCCCUAUAUUUGCGACGCAUUAGGGGGCUACGUGUUAUGGAUCCCUAAAUAAGCAACUUCUAUGGUAGGUGUAGGCAACUCGAACGUUAUCCUUCCCCUGAAUCCGAUUAAACAUGAAUAAGUGUCCAAAAUCAAGUGCCCAAUGUCUGCCAAAUACCAAUACGAGGGAGACAUGACGGUAUAUGAACAUUGGAAUCUAAAAAAAAAAGAACAAAUAGCAACAAUGACCAGACCGGACUGUUUUCUUAAUCUCCCCAUAAAUUGAUAAUGAUACGGUCUUUGUCUGUGUCUAUGUUUAUAUGUGAUUCUCAGUAACGAGGCCAUAAGCUUUUAAGCCAUCAAAUCGACUAUGGGAUUGGAACUGAACUGAACAUACUAAUUUUCGGCAUCAAGACUCGAGAGUGCUUAUCCCUCUCUUUUCUAUGAUAAUAUUCAUAUUGUUGAGAUCUCACACCCCAUAAAUGAUACAAUUACAGGUUUCUAUUCCUAGGCAUGAGGGGAUGAUGUUAUUGGGACACCUAUGUCUACGCUCCAAACAUCAAAUCCCAGAGGUGAAUAGGUGUAUUAAGAUUUCACAUCAAUUGGAGGCAUGACCAAUAAGGCUUAGACAACCCUUAGCUUAUAAGUAAGCUUUGUAGGACUGUGUAGUUGCAAACAUAAAUUCUAAGAUGCUAGAAUUUAUUCUAGAUCUAUUAUUAGGUCAUGCCUAUUUGUCUAUGCUCUAGGAUGUCUAUUCCUAGGCAUAACAUAAGGUAUUUUUAUUGGGUCACCUACAUUUGUUCAAACUCUAAAUGUCCAAUCCUAAGUAUAAUUGGGUGUAUUGAGAUAUUACAUUACUGGAGAUAUAUGAUCAAUGAAGUCAAGGUUUGAGAUAAGUUAGGCCCUGCACCCAAAAAUUAAGAUGCUCGUCUUAUAACGCUACCUGUAUUUCCAAACUCCAAAUGCUUAUACCUAGGCAUGAGGGAUUUGUCCAUAUUAACUGGAGACAUGACCAAUGUAGUCAUCAUAAAGCUUGGGCAAUACUUAUAGCCAAAUUUAUGAAGCUGAAAUAUGCAUUAAUUCCCAAUUCUAAGGCGUACUAUUUCUCUAGCCUCCAGCCACCCCCCCAAUCGCUUUUCUCACUAUAAAUGUAUGACUAUUUUACUUCCCCCCAAAUUUUCCUCCAAAUUAAAUAAUGCAAACCCAAAUGGCAGCAAUCACCAACUAAUAUACCUUCCAAGAAGUAACUUAUUUUAUCCUUUUCCUAUGCAAGGAUUGUUAAAGUAGAGAAAGAAAAUGCAUGAUAAGUUCCCAACCAAAGUUUCGGAAGGAAAGGGCAGUAGGCAAUGAUAAUUAUCCGAACAUCCAAGUAACCAUAUAAAACCCCAGUCUAGUAUAUAUAUGUUGUCCAGUGAAAGAAGAAAAGACGAAUAUCUCCCGAAGAGUUUAUCGGUUUAGAGUACAAGUAAUGAUAACAAAAGCAAACAAAAGCAAACAUUUAUCUGAAGCAAAGAACAUCGUAUCCAUAAAUACAGGGCAUAAGCUAUGAACCAUCCCCACAGAAUGCUACACCUUACAUAUGCAAACUUAAGCAUAAUUAAUUAAAAAAAGGCAGACCUGAAAAUGAGGGCUGUUAAGGCAGCGUCCAAUCUGCCUGAAAAGGGAGGCAAGGCACCGUAGAGAGUCAGUACACUGAGUUGCCUCAAGAACCACUUCUAGUUCUCCAAGAAAAAGAACUUCCUUUUGGCAAUUCGAGACUGGCCAGUACUUCAACAUCCCCUUGAUCACAGGAUCAGCCAGCCGGUUGUCUUUCUGAACAAACUGAACCACGCAAUAAGACAAUUGUUCGUGAUAAGAGGAAAUAGCUUUGGGCUUGUGAAGUGGAAUAAGAGUCCGAAUUAGAAACAGUUUAUGUUCCUCUUUCAUUGGUAACGCAAACCCAUUGAUAAUACUAGCCAGGAUCUCCAGCAACUCGAAAAUACCAUUGUGCCUCUGAGUUUCAAAUAUAAAGCGGUAGAAGACGUUGUUGAUGGCAUUCCUAAUGAAUGGCCUGUGCACCAUGUACUUGCCGUAAAUGCGGUGAAGAAUAGUCUUCAAAUACUCGCGCUCGCGCAUGUCCUCGGAAUCAAACAAGUCAAUGAGUUUCAUCACAAAGACAUGGUCAAUGUAGCGCUUCGAAGUCCUUAUAUCAGUCUCCGGUGAGACAACGUAACGCAAGAGGAUAUCAUACACGAGCUGCAAGUGCGGCCACGACGGGUCCAAAUGUCUGUCAUCUUCAUCGGGUUCCAAGUAUUCUGUGCCGCGAGGGGACGCGGGGAAACAACGGAAGAUGUUAACGGAAACCAUGUUAAUCAAGUCUUCUUGAUUUUCGCUGAAUCCGAAGGACCCGGAUUGGAUGAUUUCAAUGAGCUCCUCGAGUGCCUGGCGCUUUGUUUCCCUCUCGUUAACGGAGUCGACAGUGUCUGAGAAAUCGCACAGGAAGCAACAUCCUUGUAUUUUCCGGAGGAUCAGCGCCCGGCGCUCCGAUUCCUCGGCGUCUCGCAGUGGCGGAAGUGGCUCGAUUACGGUGGGAUCGGAAGGCGGAACCAAAAACGGAGGGUUUUCGGAGUCAGAGUUGGCGGCGGCGGAGGGGGUGGUGCGAGAGGCGUGUUUGACGACUACUUCAUAAAAUUGAAGUCCGCUUUCGGGGAAUUCCAAUUUGGAGCAUUUCUUGUGAGCGAGCUUUAUGAUCUUGUUGAACAUUUUUGGGGAAUGAAUGUUGGAACGAUGGAAAAAGGGGAAGAAAUUGGGAACGAAAACGGAAGCGGAAAUUGGAAUUGGCGAACCAGAAGCCCUAAUGAAGCGACUUCUGGGUUGGAUUGGGGGGGGAAACGGCGAAUAACCGCAAUGAAGCGGAAAACGACUCCGUCCAAAGCGUUCUUCACUCACAUCAAUCAAUAUAAUGCCCAAAAGGUGCAAAAUUGUAAAGCGCAAAGGAGGCGCCAAAUUUCGACGUUAGCCACGUGGAGGUUAUAGAUUAUGCCAAUAUGCCCAAAAUUAACAGACCAAAACAUUAGUUAAGAGCUUCAAAAUUCUUUAUUAAUAAGAGAAACCAAUAUUCCUAUUUUAUAUUACUAACGGUAACAUAGAUACGAGACUGCAUAUGUAUCUCUGUAUUUUUUUUUAUUAUUAUUAUAUUCAUAAUUUUUUAUAAAAAAUAAAAUAAUAGAAGGAGAUAAUAACUAAAUUAAAUGAUAAAAAUAAAUAAAAAUUAUACUCUUUAAGUGAAGAUAUGAAAAAAACAACUGUUUCACAUUUAAUAAACUAUUAUUUAGUUCAUUGAUAACCUACUCUAUAUUUAAAAUUUAAAACUACUUUUUACAAAAUAUCAAUAUAUUAGUAUUAAAAAUAAAAUAAAAAAGUAGUUUUUAAUUAAUUAUAAAAAUAAUUAGUUAUUUAGUAAAGACUUAAAAAAUAAAAAAUGACUGAGAUAUUUAAAAUAAAAUAUUAAUAAGAAUAAACUAAGAAAAAAAUUAUAUAAAAAUAAUAUUAAUAAAGAUAAAAUAAGAAGAAAUUUGUAUAAAAAACAGUAGUUAUAAUUGAGAAUUCCUAUUAUAGGUAUAGAAGAUAAUGCUAAAUAAAUUAUUUAGUAUUCUUUAGAUUCACUAGGUCUAUUUUUUUUUAAAGUAUAAUUGAAGUUCACCAAACCACUAAAAAAUAAUGUGCCACUGAUUAUUUAAAGUAUAUUAAGUUUGAUUUAUUUAUUGUUUAUGGUAUUUUUAGAAGUUUCGGACCUUCAUGCUCUGAUAUUAUUAUGGAUACAUAUAUAAUUAUAAUUUUAUUUAUUUAUUUUUGUAUUUAUUAUAAGAAGAUAUCAACAAAAAUUGUGAUCCUUUCUCGAGAGUUAAUUUUCUUGAUUCCUCCUCCCCUUAAUUUUGUUUUUCUUCCUUCGGAGAAAACAUGCAUUUAAACACUCAAUAUGAUUAAUAUACCCAUUAUCUUGGAAGAAAAAAUAUUGAAAUUUUGAUUGAAUAACAAAAUAUAAAAUGAAAGAAUCAUUACACCCAGCACUAGUUCUUUCUCAUCUAUUAUCCUUGUCAAGAAAAAGGAUGGCAUUUGGAGUGGUUCUCAACCAAAAUCACCAUCCUAUAGCAUUUUUCUCCAAAAAGAAAAAAUACAGAAUGCAGAAUCAAGUUGUAUAUACCAGAGAAUUUUAUGCAAUCUCAAAAGUUAUUGCUAAAUUUAGAUACUACGUAACUGGACACAAGUUUAUCAUCCAAAGUGACCAAUUGAAUUUGAAAAUCUUGGUUGAUCAGGUUAUUCAGACACUAGAACAACAAAUUGGCUUCACAAAUUGCCAAGAUAUGAUUUAUCAUUUGAAUAUAAACUUGGCAAAGAGAACAUAGUUGCAGACAUUGUUUUAACGCCCAUAGGUUGCUACUACCUAACCCCCUUCAACUAAAAUUCAACCUAUUUUCCAUUGUUUUAUGUUAAAACUUUGCAAGAGAGAUCAUACUCAACCUUGUAUUUCCUUUCCCAUGUGUAAGGGGGAUAGAACAGUUAUUCAACCUGUUGACGCGGUGCAAUUCAAAAUUAUGCGUAAGGGAGUUAAAGAUGUGUAACAACAUCUGAUACAGUAGAAAGGUCGAGACUUCAACCUCGAGGACAAUGUGAAUUUUAAUGGGAAUUGAUCCUUAGCCUAUUUCACUCCCUUAAUUUUGAAUUUCAGAGACACCAUCAAUUUUAGUGUUCCAGCCUGGAAUUAACACUGUCUACACCUCAUGUGAUUAUACGACUAUUUCCAACAUUAGUAGAGUAUAUCCUCAGCAUAACCAUCAACAAAAUAGGGGGGUUGGGGGAACACUGCAAUCUAUAUAGACUCGGAAAGGAAGGCAUUGUAAUCCAACAAUGCAUUCAAAUUCUAGUAAACAUUUCUCUAACAUAAUCAUGCAUGAAACUGAAGAAGGGAAUAUUCAUUCAUCAAAUCUGUUUAGUCUAAGGAGGAAAUCACGUUUUAGAAAAGAUUUAUACGGAUUUACAGACGAAACAAAGGUUUGCCAUUAGCUACAUUUCCAAAUGCCCGAACUCGAUUUCCUGCUCCGACCCAUCACGUUUUAGAAAGAAAGCAAUUACCAUCCACCUUUGUCAACCCCGUCAUUUUUCUUGCCCCAUGAACCUGCUGCACCUACAUAUGAUAAUCAUAUAGUCAAGUCUAUUGAAUUAAGUUGAAAAUAAAUAUCGUACUUGCAAAUUUAUAUUGGUAAGACGUCAGCUCAAUUCUGCUGUAAUUUCUAGUUUAACUUCUAAUUAAUAAUGAUUCGUAACUGAAUUAGAAUCAUUAAUUUACAUUGUAACUUUUAUUUUUCUUUCAAGCACUACCUCGGGUUUUUCUUUCUUUCUGAAUAAACAAGAAGGGGAGAAUAAUUGGGUGAAGUUAUAUUUGGUUUUCAUUAUUUCUUCCUUACCUUCUGCUGAUUCUUUCCAACUAGAAGAUUGACUAUUCUCUGCAGCACUACUAGACUUAAAAACUCCGUCACCAGUUUGAUUGUCCCAGCCCCUAGAAGUAGUGUUUGAACUAGAUCCCUUGUUCCAUCCACCGUCAUUAGCUCCACUUGCUGAGCUCCAGCUCUGCUUAUUUCCACCUUGGUUCCAGCUAGGACGCUCCUUAUCUGCAUCAUUCCCUUGGCUCCAGCUCUGCCUGUCCUUGUCCCCAGUAUCAUGGUUCCAAGCCUGAGAUCUAUUAUUAUUAGCCUCAUCACUUGCUGAACUCCAUCUCUGUUUACUUCCACCACCCUGGUUCCAGCUAGGAUACUCCUGAUCCGCAUUUCCCUGGCUCCAGCUCUUUCUUUUUUUGUCACCAGUAUCCUGAUUCCAAGCCUGGGAUCCAUUACUAUUACUCCAUCCUUCAACAUUAUCAGGCCCCUUCUUCCAGUCAGAGGACCCAUCCUCACCAGAAUCCCUCCUGUUGUUCCAACUACCAGAUUGAUCACUCCUUCCUCGACCACGGCCUCCACCUGAUCCCCACCUACCACCAAAACCUUCCCUGUCUGAUCUACCUCUACCACCAAAGCCCCCCGGUCUCCCCGGCCACCAAAGCCCCCACCCCCACGGUCUCCCCGGCCUCCAAAGCCCCCACCCCCACGGUCUCCCCGGCCUCCAAAGCCCCUACCCCACGGUCUCCCCGGCCACCAAAGCCCCCACCCCCACGGUCUCCUCUACCCCGAAAACCUCUACCUCUAAAGCCACCUCUGUCUGAUCCACCUCUACCCUGGUAACCACCUCUCCAGUUCCCACCACCAACUCCACCAGAAUUUUCAUUUGAACCUUCAUUUUCACCAUUGAACUGAUUAUCGCUUGAGCCUGCACUCCAGCUGCUAUUGCUUUUCCAACUGUUGUUUUGAUUGGCAUCACCUGAUCCAGAAUUCCAAUUACCUUUCUUGCCCCAGCUAGGAUUGUUAUUUCCAGGAUCAGGAUGCCCAGAACUCCAGUCAGAAUUCUUGCUUUCAUUCCCAGCACUUGGAAAGGAUUUAUUAGUGUUCCAGUUGUCAUUAUUUCCCCUGUUUGGAUUUUCAUUGAAAUUAUCAGAUCCAGAAUUCCAAUUGCUAUUUUUCGAAUCAGAAGCCAGGUUUCCACUGCUACCAGAAUUCCAAUUGUGUUUCAUGUCCAACUUGGAAUCUUGAUUUCCAGGCUCAGUAUGCCCAGAACUCCAGUGAGAAUUCCCACUGGUAGAUUUAUUUUCGUUUGAUUCAGAGUUCCAAUUGUUUUUCUGACCCCAACCAUUCCCUUGAUUUCCACCAGUACCACCAGAUACAGGACCGUCUAAAGUAUUUCCUGCAUUCCAACCACCUUGAUCUUUACCUUCUUCAUCUUUAUCAUGUGACGAAGAUAUUGAAGCAUUCCAAUUGCUUCCUGUUCGCCUACCAGAUGGCUCGCUCCCUUCCUUAUUUGGUUUAUUGCUCCAUCCAGCAUCCUUACUAGUAUUGAUAUCUGAAGAACCAGAAGGAUUUCCAACUUUGACUCCACUUGUUCCAGACUUCCACCCACUCCAACUAGAAUUGAGGUUUCCUUCAUCUGAUCCACUUUUAAAACCAUUGCCAUCACCCCAUCCAUUGGAUGAAGUUUCAUUAUUUGACUUUUGGACAUUGUUCCAACCAGAAGAUUCUUUUUCAGAAACCUUGGUUGUAUUCCAACUGCUAUUCUGAUUGUCAUCACCCACACUUCCAGUUUUAGGUUCUGCCUGACCCCAUCCAGUAGAUGAAGUUUCAUUAUUUGACUUUUGGACAUUGUUCCAACCAGAAGAUUCUUUUCCAGAAACCUUGGUUGUAUUCCAACUGCUAUUUUGAUUGUCAUCACCCACACUUCCAGUUUUAGGUUCUGCCUGACCCCAGCUGCCUCCAACAUUUCCCCAGCAGCCACCAGACUGUUCUGGAUCAGAAGCAACUCCAGUCUUCUCCACUGCAGCAACCCAUGUGGAGUUCUGGUUUGGAUUACUUUUAGUUUCCCAAGCAGAAUCUUCUGCACCUACACAUUACAACAGCAAUGAGGCAAAUGAUAAACGAAGUAGUUAAACUAGAAGUGAAAACAUACCAAACAUUUCCGUACUACAACUUUUACCUUUGGAACUGAAAGGAUUUAAGGAAGACUCUGGCUUCUGUAAAAUCAAUUGGAUAUAAAUGAGUACAUGCAAGUAUUAUACCAAGAGUGGUUAGAUUAUCCACAGGCAUGAGAGGAUUAUAGGAGAGAUCGAAAUGGGGAAAAAACACGCAUAAAGUGUGUUAUGCAACACAUACCAAUAAGCUUGGAGUAGAAUGAUUAGACCAUGCGUCCCUGAAAAAUGUUAUCACAAGACAAAACAGUAACUAACCCAGUUGAGAAUAAAACUAAUCAUGAAUAAGAAAACUGGAUAAACAAUACAAAAUGACAUCAUGGAGACUUGGUACUUUGCAGUGCCUAUGUUUGACAUCUAGUAAUAUGUGAUGUUCCAUGGAGUAUGUGUUUGGUUCUCACCCCUUGAUAUAUACCUUUCGAGUGUGGGUUCCCCUAGUUCUUGGCUGUUUAUUAACUGGUAUCAAACUAAUUGCCAAUGCCUUGUAAAGAACUAUCAAUAGAGGGUUUUGACCAUUAGAGAAUUCGGACUAACGAGGGAGUUGAGAGGAGUGUUACUAAACAAGUUGUUGUGGAGUGAUGCUUGUCAAACCAUCACCUCUGAAGAGUGGUAAUAUGAUAUAGACUUGGGUAGUAAAGUACUAAGGUAGUAUGAGGUGCCUAAGUCUUAAAUCAAGUAGUAUGAGACGUGCAGCUAAAAACUGACGUGUUUGGUUAUCGGCCUUUAAUUUUGAGGGUGGGUUCCCUAAAUAUUUGAGUGUUUAUCAUAUAAAUAAAGUAACACACUCUAAUCCCUAAAUAUAUCAAUUACAUACGCAUUUUGAAAUAGCAACAUUCCAUAUCAUUUAGAAAAUAGAAUGUUGACAUAUAAAGCUGGAACAACAACCACAUCUAGAUAAAUCGGCUAUGCUUUUGGGUUUUAAUACUUAAAACAGUUAUACUUGCAUAAAAGUCAAUUCACCAUUAUUCAUAAUUAUUUGGCAUAGAUAUGCCUUUGUUCCAUCCUUGUCUGCAUCAAUUUUCCGUAGCCAUGAGUUAACCCAUCCCAAUUUCCACAGAUUUCUACAUUACUGAGCAAUAUCUGGACAUUACUAGAAUACCACUAUUGAUGACUAAAUUCAUCAUGCAAAAUUAGCAAGGAUAUAUAUUAGGCGAACAUAAUAUUGCCUAUAAGCAGAUGACUAAUAUCACUAUGAAAUAUACCUUUCAGAUGAUGCCCCAGCAGCAUUCCAUCCACCACCGCCAGUGGAAGUUCCCGCUCCAUUCAGCCAACCUUUCCAAGCGUCAAGAUUAAUGUCUCAAUAGAACAUCAAGGCCAAACAGAGAACAGGGAAGAUAUCUAUACGCAUGCUAAUUGAUGCUAUAAUCCAUUUAAUUGGGAUUUUAUUUAUCUCUUUAAAGGAUUAAAAAGUAGAGAAUAAGGUAUUCUGACCUCCAGAGCUUCCUUCACUACCCAGCAGAUCAAAUGGCUUAGAAGAACUUGAAUCUGGAUCACCACUGAUAUAAAAAAACAGUGAGAAACUAAGGACAAUAUUCACGCACAAUCGUAGCAAAUCAUAAGUAAUUGUGGCAUACAAAAGUUAAUGUAAAUGUCAGAAAUACCUUGAUGAAAUGGCAGUACUCCUUCCCUGAACCUCAGAAAGAUGCUCACAUUUAACUGUGAAAAGUAUUUUUUGUACAAAUUGCUCUAAAUAAUUAUAUAACAUAUCAAAAAGAAAAUUACACAAGAAAGAGUUCACCGUCAUAAACAAACCUGUAAGAACCUUCUGCUGUGAAUCAAGUUUCACAGUUACAUCAGUGCGACGCAAGGCAAUGACACGGCAAAGGUAUCCCUUCAAAGGACCUAUCCUAAUUCUCAAGGUCUGACCAAUAUUAAACAUGUUAUUGUUGUCCCCACGGUUAACUGCAUGCACAAUUAUUGAAUUGAGAAAAUUAAUAAAUGCAUAUAUCCACAGCUAAAAUAGUUUUUAAGGAGUCAUGUAUCUUUACAUUCACGAUUAUUUUCUCUUGCUUGCCAUGGUUUUUUGGGUGACAAUGGAGAUCUUGGUGAUGAUGGUUGGUCUUCAAAGAAUAAAGGACCCGGUUCACUUUCCUGAGUGUGAAGCAGCAUUCAAAACAUAGAAACUCAGAUGAAACCAUUGAACAGUUUGUAACAUAGCAGGAUACUGGACAUAUUUCAAACCUUUCCACUGAAAUCACCAACAUCAAGCUUGACCUUCUCACACAUACUAGAUUUACAUGUGACAUAACCUCCAUUUUCUUCCUCAUUUCCAUCAUGUAAAAAGACAAUUCCUCUAUAAAUGUGCUUAACAAUGCCUUGUUUACCCUACAAAAAAGAAUAGUUUUAAAAGUAUGAUAUGAGGAUGAAAAACCCAGAUAUAUCACAAUUAGAAAUCUUCACAUUCAGAAAUAUGAAUCACACCUUUGAUAGACCGUCAAGAACCCUGACAGUAUCACUAACCAAUAUAGUCUUACUGUGCUGAUCAAGGGCAGUGAGUUUCAAAUCAAAUAGCCCACUCUUUAUUUCAUUUCGUUCAAUACUUACAGCAACAGGUCCAUCUGAACUCUCUUUUAGAAUCUAUACAAGACAGGCAAAUUAGAAAAGUACUUGUAAAAAAUAACAGGCUCUCAAUCAAAAAGCUUAGAACAAAUGACAUUGCAUAAGCUGAAUGCUAUACCUUGUAAAUAUCAUCUUUAUCCAUGCCUACUAUUACACCAAAGUCCUUCUUCCUGAAAAAUGGAAAAGAGGUUCUUCAAGAAGACAUGUUAAAAAAUGUGCAGGCAUGCGAAUGUGUGUGUAUCUGCAUGCAUCAUUUAAGUGCAUUUUGUGUGUGUGACAAAGAGAAAUAGUUCUCCCAAUACCAUGAAUGUACUGCAAUGGGAAAUAUUGGUCAAGAAUGAGGACACAUGAGCAAGUAUGUAGUACAUGUGGGUGCAUCUGCAUGUCUUGUGUACAAACAUGUUUGUAUGAAAGUGUGGAUUGGGCAAGUGCAUGCAAGUACGAUAAAAAAGUAAUUCAUAUGUGUGAAUGUUAGCAAGGUAAAACAAGGACUUACCCGAAACAUACUAAAUCAUAAAGCUCAAAAUCAUUUCCCACACCCGAACCAGAUGAACUUUCUCCUUUCCCACCUCCCUUGCUGGGUCUUAUUACACGUUUUUUCUUCUUAUCACCGUAAAGUUGAGCAAGCCACUCUAAAUCAUUGGAUUCAUUGUUUUCAGAAGACCCAAAUUUUAACAGCUCCUCUUCUGUCGGCACAACACCCCAUAAACUUAAUGAAUCCGGAGAAACUUUCUUGUAUACAUAUCCAUCCUUGAGCAUCAAGCCAUCAAGAACCUCAAAAACCUUGCCCGUUUCACGGUCACGCUUGAACUGCAUGAGUGGUCGGAACUCCCUGCAAAGUUAUUGAAAAAUAAUCACAUCAUAAAAACUAUCCAGUAAAAAAAUUAACAAGAUAUAGGAAUAUGUAUUAUUUACUCGAGUUCACUCGAGCUGAUUAAUCUAGGGGCUGGUACAGCAAGUUUUUGGCGACUAUAUCCUCCACCCUGUAACAUGAGAGAAGAAAUGUAUCAACAAUCUGCUCACUCCGUAGCUUUAUUUGGGUUGCAAGUAAAAUAAAGGAGAAAUAAAUAGGAAAGAUAGAAAUAAAUAAAAUAGAAAAAGGUUUUGUUUGAACAGACAGAAAUAAGAAGGUAAAAUGUAAAAAAAAAAAUCUUGUUUCAAUGAGUGGAAGUGUAUGUUAAAGAUAAAUAAAUAUGUCUAAUUAAAAAUUAAGUUUAACUUAAAAAUAAUAUUUUAACAGCAUCUCUCGUGACACAAUAAAUACAUUACCAGCAGAUAUCAUAUCAUAUAUAUAGCAACUAAAAAAAACAAGCAUAAUCAAAGUUAAUUAAUGAAUUGCCUGGAAAAAAAAAAAGGUAGCUUAUCAAGUGGACACAUGUCUCCUUACAAAUUUGGCAGCCAAAGCUUGCAGAUCAAUUCUCGGAAUAAGCUUAACUGUAACUUUUUUCCGGGAAUUAUUUACAGCCACCACCUGAAAAAGCGUAAUAGAUAAGAGGAAUAAGCAUUUCACAAGUUGGAUAACAAAAUAAAACAAAAAACAUUCCUUGUGCUCAUGUAGUACCUGCGCUAAAUCCCCUUUGUAAUUACCACCUUUUAUUCGAGCCCACAUACCCUCAGAAAUUUCAGGGGUUCUAUUUCUAACAGAAAACAGAUGAUAGACCUCACUAUUUGGUACAAGUGCUACUCGAGUAACAUAGAUUCCGGGAAUCCCUUGACAAGCCUGAAACCAUGCAUUAAUAACAAAUGUGAAUAGAUUUGGCGGGUGGUAGAAAUGUUUCACUUGAAAAUGCUUUCAACAUGGCCCUAGAAAACGGUCGUAGACAACAAUUUCAAUCACAUGAUCAAGGUUUUUAUAUAGGCCACCAAAAUUUCGGCCACAUUUGCCAGCUGACACCGCAAUUUAAAACCAAUCAAAUUAAACCGAACAAAAAUACCCAGUACUGAGGUUACCUCAUUUAUAUCAUACUGUCUUUCAGCCUCAAUAUAUACACAACCUUUCAUAUGAUCUACGGCAAAUGCAGAUUGUAUCUUCAAGACAGUACCCAAUGAAAAUAAGUCAGCAAACUUUUGCAUCAGACACAACGCUGAAAGCCUCUCCCGGCCAACCUGCAGCAAAAAGGGAAAAACAUGGCAAAGCAUAAACUGAGAAAUUUAAAAGCAACACUGGGAAAUAGUUAGCAAAGUCAUAGAAUCGUGUUCCAGGUAUCAUACAGUGCAUUUGACUUUCCAGAUGUUUGGCAUCAGUUCCAAGACAGCAUCAUGAAUAGAAUUUGGGUUGUUCCCUUUGUCAUCAAACUCAUCAGCAUAUUUGAUAAACCUAGAUGGAUUUGCGUAGCGCUCCUCAAAUAUUCUAUCAAACUCUUCUUCAUCCACCAAUUCCUCUUUAGGAAUACGCGGGAAACUACUCUGGCCCUUAGCAGGCUCGCUCAUUCUUCUCGGAGAGGCAUUAAAAUCCUCAUCAGAAAAAUCUGUUACAAAAAAUUAGAAGGUGUACGGUACCACGAGAAAUUCUAAAAUUCUAACUACAAACGAUGACACCAAAACCAUAAAACGAGGCAGGACACAAGCAUUUCUCAUGAAUGAAGCCACUAAAAGCAGUAUCGACACGUCUAGAACAAAUAAACACAUGAAAUUAAACUAAACACAGAAAUGAGGCCGAAACCCUAACAAUUUUCGUGAGAGAGGAACAAACGAUGAAAGGUAAGAGCAUGAGAGAGAGAAAAGGGCAUUCGAUUAUGUACCGUCCCCGAAAUCACUGUCGUCGCUGAAAUCGCUCUCCUCGCUGUCAUCAACCUCAGCGGCGUCUUCGAAAAACUCAAUGCCUCUAGUCUUGAGGCGGCCACCGGUCUUGUCAUCUUGGAAGCCGCCCUUGCGCUUGCCGGCCGAAGCUUUUCCGGCGACCUCCUUGCCUUUUCCUUUGCCCUUGUUCGUCAUUUCUACCGAAAAUGCUGAGACUAAUGCAAACUUUGCAUGCUGGGAUAAAUAGAGAGAGAGAGAGAGAGAGAGGAAGAAGAAGUGAGCAAGUAAAGUGUGCUGUGAUCACGUGAGAGUGGGAAAUGAUUUUAUAUCUAUAUUUUUAUUUUAUAAAUAUAAAUUAAAUUAUAACAUAAAUAUGAAGGUACAUAUUACAUAUCAUUAAAAAAAAUACCGUAAAGAAAAUAAUAUAAAAAUUAUUAAUAUAAUAACAAUAUUUUAUAAAUAAUAUACCUGUAUUUCUUUGGCCCGUAACACUAGUUUAAAGGAUUCAUGAUUUUAUUAUUGGAAGAGUCAGAAAACUGUGAUGAACUGUGAGAUUAGUAAAUGCACCUGGUGCAGUUUUCUCUCCUCAAAGAAGGAAACCACCUUCCAAAAUUAGGAUUUUUUUGCUUUUCGCACCACGUUUUUCUUCCUGCACCUCACUUAUUUCCAAAUAUGGUUUCCAAAAUAUUUUACGAAUUAUCCAAUUUAAAAGUCUUUUAACCUAAGUAAUCCUAAAUAUUAAUUUAAGUUUGAUGUAGUUAUGAAAUGCGUUGUAAAAAGAAUAAUUAUAAUCUUUCAGAUCAUAUAAUUCACAUAAACUAGUUGUUAUAUACGUCAGUCAACAUUAAGUUUGAGCUUACUCAGAUAUCAUUCUACUUGGUAUUUCGGUUUAUUAUCUAAAGAAUAUGGUUGAUCCAUUGAGCCCCCAACCACUUAUAUUGAGUGACCAUGAGGUAACAUCAAAACAUAAUCUUAAUUAAAAGUCUUGAUCAAUAAUUAGACUGCUAAAUAUAUCAUGAUUACAAUAUUAACAUAUAUAUUGGGCCUGAAUAAGACCCCAACAACAAACUCACCACAAAAUGGUAUUAAUAGAUGAUUUUGAAAAUUCGAUAACAUUCGUAUCUUUACUUGAGGUUUUUUAGUAUCUUCAUGUAUACAUCCCACAUACACUUAUUAAUCAUCAUAAAGGCCGAGAAACUAAAGAGAUCACGAAAAUCAAAUAUGAGAAUUGAAAGGAAAAAAAAAACAAGUUAUGCACUAAAGAGUAAUUGCAUUCGAACACACUUUUGUGUAAAAACAUCUCAUGUUUGUGUUCAAAUUUUCACAAGGGAAAAUGAGUGGGUCAUGACAUAUCAAUUUUUUUUAUAAUGAAAGAUGAUUUAAGAUUUAGGUUUUGGAUAAAAAUGGUUGGCAAAAGAUGAAAAUGAGUUAUCCAAAAGAAUAAUGGUUUUGGGAUUGUUUUAGGGAAAGAUGGAAAACACCUUUGAAGUGGCAAAAGUGAUAAGGCUAAUUCUCCUUCCACGAGAUCGAGAUCAAUUGUGAUAUGCACCCAACACCUACAAAAAUGUUUAUUUUACCUUUAAUCUUUUAGAUAUCUACCUUCACAACAUAAAUAAGACAGUUCUAAAUAUGUAAAUUCAGAAUUGAGAUGUAUCUUACAAAUAUGACCAUCCACAACACAUAAAUGUCUUUCUGAAUGUUAAAAUCCAAACAAAAAACAACAUGGCAAUUUGGAGUUUUAAAGAAAAUUAUGGGUGAAAAUCACAAUUUAACUUGUGUUGGUAGGAGAAUUAGCAAGUGAUAGUAUUAGAUUGGUAGAGUUGCUUGAUGGGAGCCAAAAAAAUCAUCUGGAGCUUCCCUUAUUGAGCUGGUAAAGUACUUAUUGUCCAAUUUGACUUUUAGUUUUUUUUUUCCUUGUUUGCAUGCAAGCAUAAAUGAAGUGAAAUGUCUAAAACAGAUCUUCCACAUCAAAAACAAUAUGCGGCUCCCGUAGGAAACAAAAUUUAAUUUAAAAUUUUUGGAUAUAAAAAAUUGAAUCAAUCAAUCUAAAAAUAAAAAUUAUUAAUUCUGAAUUGUUAAAUGUUAAACUGAAAUUUAUAUUUUCGAACUAAGUGUUUUACAAAUGAUUUACUAAUUUUUUGAUUCAUAACUGAAAAAUAUAAAAAUAUAUAUAUAAAUUGUAGAAUCCAAAAUUUAUUAUGAUUUAACUAAAAUUUCACUAAAAAUGUUAUAUUUUGCCUUCUAAAACCCUGUAAUCCAUAAUUUCAUUGGAACUUGAAUUAUUAUUUUUGGAAUACUCUAUCCAAAAUACUUUCAACUUGUUCAAUCUAGGAAACUUGCUUCAAAAAUCACAAUUGUUUUGAAAUAGAAAUGAAAUGAUAAAAUUAUCAUUUUAAAAUAAAUAAAGUGCAAAAAGAAAUCAUGAAAAUGUAAAAAGCAAAAGUCUCUAAAUAUUUUGAAAAUUCUGGGCCGGCCUAACAAAAUAAAGACAGUUAUGUUAAAUUUUUUUUUUCUUUCUGCACCUCCAUAAAUCUUUCAAUUUUAAAAUUACCCUUGGACAAAAAAUGCAAGAUUUUGUUUAUUUAUUUAUUUUUUAAAUGUAUAAUCUAUAAACCUUUUGAACUCUAAAAUUUGAAAUACAAUUCAUUAUUAUAAAUUUUAGACUUUAGAAAUUAUUUCCUGAAUUUAAAAAUAUAUUCCGAAUUCUAGAAUUCAUAAUAUAAAACUGUAUUCUAAAUUAUAAGUUAAGAAAAUACCUUAUAAACUUUAAAAUUUAAAAUAUAAUUUUAUAAUUCAAAUUUUAAAGUUUAAAAUUUUAGAAUACGAAAAAAGGGGGAAAAGGGGUGUCAAUAAAUAAAUAAGUUGCAAAAAUAAAUCAUGAAAAUGUAAAAAACAAAAUUUCUGAAGGAAUUGGGCCGGCGUAAUAAAAUAAGGACAUAUUUAUAUUAAAGGUUUGAAUAAAUAAAUUGGAAUUGCAUAGUCAGGCAAAAUCAAAAGUAUAAUAAUACAAGUAAUUUAUUUUUUUUAAACCAAAAAAAAGUAUUACUUUUUUAUUGUUAGAAAUUAUUUUCUUCCAAGUCAAAACUAAUAAAACAAAUUAUUAAGUCAUCUUAAUGCAAUCAUUUCCGGUUAAUACAAACUAUUUAAAAUUAACUAUUUCUAUUAUGGAUACUAUGUUUACAUGUAUUUAAAUGCUGUGAUUGUAUAAUUAAUCACUUUUAACUACAUUUAUAGUAAAUAAUAUUUUUUAAACAAUACAUUUAGUCAUUUUAAAAAAACAGGUUUAAGUACAUGAUACUGUUGUAAAGUAUUGAAGUGAUUAAUUUGACUACUUAAAUGAAAUAUUAUCUUACAAGUUUAACUAAAUUUGUCCAAUAAUAUUAUUCACUACAAAAACAAAUAUGAUGAUUAAAACUACAAAUUAUAGUAGUUUUAAAAACAAUUUCAAAAAAAAUAUUAUAAAUAAAAUAAUUGUUAUAUUAUAUUUACACAUAUCAAAAGCAAUUUAUGACAAAUAUAUUUUAAAUGCUGGUAAAUUUGCCAAAAAAAUAUUACUUGUUGAAAAUCGUUACAAGGUACAUAUUUUUUUUUAUUAGUGUUUUUACGGUUUAAAAUGAUAAUAUUUUUUUUAUAAUUAAAUAUCAUAUUUUGACAAUUAAAAAUCAUCAUAUAUAUGGAAGGUUUAAAAACUACCAAAAAUUGCUUAAUUUUUUUUUUAAAUAAAAUAUGUUAAAAUUUUCAAAAUAAUAUUUUUUCUUUAUAAUCAAUAAUUCAAAACCCCAAAAUUAUUUUAUUUAAAAAAUAUAAUUUAAUAAUAGUAAUAAUAAUAAAUUUAUAAUAUUAAAAUAAUUGAUAGUCUAAAUGCAUAUCAAAAUAAUAUUUUUUUAAGAUAACAUGUAACACCGCUUAACUUUUUUAUAAUAUUAAAAAAGUUAAUUUGAUUACUUUACAUUCGAAGAUUUGAUUUAAUACAUUAUUCAAAUAAAUACAAAGUACAUACGAAGACAAUAAUGGAUAAUCUGUCAGUAACAACGUAGGCAUUUUCGAUUAAAAGCCAAAAUUCUCCUCACCAAGAAAAUUUAAACCGCCUAACAUAAUGUAACCGCUUCAAUAUUAUAAAAAUAAAUUCUUUUGAAUUGGUUCAAACUACUUGUUACCUUUCUUUUAUAUCAAGAAACUCAAAUAAAUCUUUUAAAAGAAAUUAAUUUGUAAAUUAUAAAUAAUUACGAAAUUAUAAAGUUCUAUAUUUGAUUAAAAUUAUGCAACUUAAAUGUUUAAAUCAAUUUUCUUAAAUUUAAUGUUAUGUGAUUAUUGAUGAUAAUUUCUAAUUGUGUUAAAAGUAUAAAUUGUUGUAUGAUGAAAUGACUUUGAUGAAUGAAAUGAAAAGUGAAUCACUUAGAAACUAAUAAGUGUGUUUUAUAAAAUGGACUAUUCUCACUCUAUGGAUAUCUUAGAAUCACAUAGACAAAAAAAUAUCAAGUGAUGAAAGUCGAAUGAGGUUCAAAUGACUGAACCUGAGAUUUAAAAUAACUUAUUAGAGCAAAUCGUAGAGAUUUACUAGUGUCAUACGAUGAUGAAUUUCAUGAAGAAAAUACUAUGUUGUGAGGAGUACAUGGUAAUAUAUGUGCAGGUCUUUGAGCACUAAUUUCAAUACAUGUUUUGUGUGUGUGAAUUUCUAACAUGAGUGAUGUGAAACAUGAAAUAUUUGACAGUUAGUUGUUUAGUAUAUUUGGAAUAAAUGAAGUGUGAUUAUAAAUGUGACUCUCAUGGGAUGAUUCAAAUAUGUUUAUUCAAAGUUUUAAAAAAUUACUAGUUUACCAUUUGUUCUUUGUUGAUGUUGAUUUUUUAAAGAUUUACGAUGAUAUUACACUUGAGUAAAUGAUGUUAAAGAUUUUGAUACAUCAUAAUGAAGGUGAUAAAUUUAUAUUUCAAUUUCUUUUGAUGUUUUGUGUGAUGGUGAAAUUAGUUGGAAAUUCUUUUAUAAAGGAAUAUGAUUUUAUGAUAUAAUAACAUAGUUAUGUUAACUUUAUUUAUAUAUUAAAUAUAAUGAAAUAUAAAUUUGAAUAAGGUAAGGAGAUUUUAGAUAACCAUUGUUAUGAACAAUGAUUUUUUUGUGACAAGUUCAACUUUCUCUUAAAAGUAAUUAAACUAAAAAAUUAUAUAAACAAGCUAAUUUGACAAAACAUUUAACUAAAUAUAUUUCAAUAAAAACUAAGAAGUAAUAGAAUAUCUUCUUAAAUAUUAAUUUAAACUAAAAGAAAUAUAUAAACAAGCUAAUUUGACAACAUAUUUAGCUAAAUAUAUUUCAAUAAAAAUUAAGAAGUAAUAGAAUCUCUUCUUAAAUAUUAAUUAAAUUUCUCUAUAAUAGGUUCUAUUACAUAUUCCUUUUCAAUUGAAUAUUUCUAACAAAAUAUUAAUGUUAAAAUAAUGUAUCAAGUCAAAAAAUUCUUAAUAUAUACAUAAAUUUAAACACAUAUUUUAAGAGUGUAAUUUUCUUUUAAGAAUGACAAAAAUGUAAUAAUCAGAAACUAGAAGUUCUCACCAUGUCACUCAUAAUCGCUUGUUGUUAUUGAUGAGAAUACACAACACGGAAUUUUGGAUAAAACAAAAAUAGUCACUUUUAAAAGGGAAAAACAUCCAAAUUAUAUUCAUUAUUACAACACAACAACUUUUACAACACAACAAUAAAAAAUCAUCAAUAAUAUAUAAAGUAUAACAUUGAUCUUUCAUACCAGAGACUGGUUUCAAUUUAAUUUAUACUGUUGUAUUAAAUAUAGUUUAAAUCUUCAUAAAUUUAAAUUUUUUUAAUUAAAAAAUAUUUGUUUUGUGUAGUUUGAGUACUUCGUAAUCUGAAAGUUUUGAACAUUUAUUUUGCCAUGUUAAAGCAAGUAGUGAGCGUAGCCAGAAGAAUGAAGAGGUAUUUUUGAUUGAAGAAAGUGGUAGGUGUACGUACUUAUACGCAGCCAACAUUAAUUACAUUUUAAUUUUCACUCCUGAAAUUUAUCAGUAGAAGAAAAUAGAUAGAGAAAAAGAAGUGGUCCCAACCCUAUUUUAAAUCUAUCUAUAUCUUUUACCACUUCUGUUUCCAAUCACACAAAAAAUAAACUUCACUAACUUAUUUCUUUUGCCAUCCAAUCGUGUGGCUGGGAAUUCAUCAGUAUCAGUGACGUGUAACCAUGCUCUCCAAAGUUCACUCUACUACGGCUUCUCGUCCUCUCUCGCCGCCGCUUUCAGCCACCUUCAUCUCGGUGACGCUGCCGGUUUCCUCAGCUUGCUCACGGUACCUCUUGUAUAUAUCACCUUUGUAGAACUUAACAGUCCUAGCCACCAGAAUGAGUGAAAUCAUGGCACCGAAAACGGUGGCGGCGGUAAUAAUAAUGAAAGACAUCUUGAAACAACUGGGCCCAGUACAAUUCAAUUCCUGCCCACCAUUUCUUGAGAUCCCCGCCGCUGCAAGUUGCUUCAGAGCCUCUUUGUCAUACAAGUGUCCGGCGACCCUCACGUUCAGAAUGUAAAGCCCAAUUGGGCUUGCGGCGCCGCCAAAGUUGUACAACGUUGAAUAGUACUUGAGCCCGAAGAGCUCCGAAAUUAUGGCGAACAGAAGGGGCCAUUGCGCGCCAAAGCAGAACCCGAUGAUCACCGACGACAAGUAGAGCCCGUUGGGCACGUCGAACGCUAUGAGAAGGUGACCGACGCAGGACAGUAGCAGGGUUAGCGUGAGCAUGAGUGGUCGAGGGAAGUGGUACUUUUGCAGAAAGUGUUCCGAGACAAACCCAGAAAAAACCCGUCCCAUGUAAUUCCAAAUGCUAACCAACGACACAAACGUGCUUAUGCUAGCCUUGGAGUACCCUAGCGAGGUCCCAAUCUGACCAAGGUUAUCAAUUGCGGUCAAAGUGCCUCCAACGCCACACGUGCCAGCGAAGAACAGAAGUAUCAUGUCGCAGCUGAAUAGUGCUUGGAGUAUAGUAUAGUCCUCGCCUCUAGCCGGUGGAGUAAACACUUUCUGCCACCAUCUGGUCUCUUCAAUCUUUGAAACAGAAUCACCGUUUGCUGACUCUGGUAAUGGUAACUCUCUUUCAGCUGCUAUCUUCACCGGGUUUGGGUCAAUGAACGCUAGCUUCUGAGUCUCCCUGAUUUUAAACUGUUCAUCGAAAACAACUGCGAGAGGGAGGAAGAGCAAGAGAAGCACAACGCCAGCGCUUACGCCGUACUCACUUUGCGAGAAAGAGAGUUUCUUCUGAAGUAUGAUCAUGAGCAAGAGGAACCCAGCGAGGCCAAGUGAGAUGUACAAGAACUUGUAGAAGACGCUGAGCUCGUUGGGCUGUCGAACGGGCUUCAUGUAGCGAAUGGUUCGAAGGAAAGCGAAGGAGAUAGCCGCUGGGAGCCAUGCUAUGAGCAGAAUCAAGGACCUGGAGUCGUCGUAGUAGAAGGCGUAGUAGAGCUGCGUGAUGAUGGCUCCACUGAGACCCACGUAGCCUUUGAGGAUGCCCAACACCACGCCACGGCUCUCGGGGAAGUUCUUGACGCAGGUGACGAGGGAGCCGGUGUUGGCGAAGGACUGAGAGUUGGCGCCGAUGCAGAUGUAGAGGCACAUGUGCCACACAUGCGGUUUGGGUAUUUUCUUGGUGACCGCGAGCCAUAUCAUGAAGUAGCCGAAGAAGUUGAGGACGGAACCCAUGACCAGGACCACCCACGGCGGAGUGAUCUCGUUUAUGAGGCCGGAGAGGAUGCCGACAUUGCCCCCGAGGUCUUUGAAGAAGCUCAGGAGGUUGAGGGUCGUUUGGUCGUAGGCCAGGGCGUAUUUGAUGUCGCCGGAAUACAGGCUGAACAUGUAGGUGGCGCCGGCAGCCGCCAUUAUAAGGAAGGAGGCAAACACCACAAACCACCGUCCGGUGAUGACUUGAACGAGGUGGCCAUUGGUGUUAACCAUAUCCCCCCCUGCAACUGCCAUGUUUGUCAGCCCCUGAAUUUGCGAUGUUGCAGGUUUUAUUUUAACUUUGAAGAUGUGAGCGCUGCAUAUAUAUAUAUAUAUGAUUAUAAUAAUAUAAAUAUUUAAAUUAAUAAAAUAUUUCUUAGAUAUUAUAUUAUUUUACUAUUAUAAUAAACUUUAUAAUAUAUAUAUAUAUAUAUAUGACCUUACAGUGAGGGUUUCCUUACUGCUGUGUGAACAAUGAGAAAACAGAGAGAGAGGAUACAUGAUAAGACCUAUCACUGAACAUCAAAGAAUGGACACGUGUUUUACUAUUGGAGAAAAAUACUUUUUUUUUGACUUUUUUUUGUUAUGAAUAGUACAUUUAAAUUCAUUUUCAUUGAAAUAUUUUUUAAAUUAGUUUUUUUUAAUGAACUUACUAGUUUUUAUUUGUUUAAAAAUGUAUUUAUGUUUUUAAAUAUUAAAUAAACCGAUUUGAGGAUUGAAUUUAAUCGUAAUCUAAACUUGUAUAUGGAAACGACGGUCUUCAGAGGUAAGUCAACGGGGGACCAUGUUGUGUCCUGCAAGUGUAUGGGGAUGGUGGGACCCGCACACGCUUUCUAAAAUUUAUAAUAUUCUAUUUUUGAAUUUUAUUUAUUCAAUUUUACUAAUUUCAGUUUUUAGCUUUUUCUGCAAAAUUUUACUUUUUCUACUCUCUUUUUUCCUUCUCCUUAUCUCAUGAGACAUAUGGAAGUCUUUAAAAAAGGAUAAACAAUUAUAAUAAUAUUUUUAAUUAAAACAACAAAAUAAAUAGAAUUAAAAUAAUAAUUUAUUGAUCUAUAGAGUGUAUGUAUUUUAUUGUGUGAGGUGUUAAAUAUCACCAUCCUUGAAAAAUCAAAGAUAUUUGAACUGAGACUAAUUGAAACUUUCUUCAAAAUAUUAUUAGAAAAAACAAACUUAACUCAAUUCAAUCAAUUUCUAAUUGAUCAAAGGCAACAUAUCAGAAACAUGUCAUAUGCUGCUACAACUAUUUUUUGUUGCCAAACAAUAACUAUAGACCUUAAACUCUACAAAGUGAUUUACUAAAUUUGUGAUAAAACUCUAGUUAAAUACAACGUACGUAAGUCACCGUAGAAAUACCAGCAAUCCAUGUAUCUAACCAAGUCACAUACCUAAUUAGUCAAACACAUAAUCAAAUCCACACUUCUCGUCAUUAAGAACUCAACAAAACCACCUUCACAACCUACCAUAAAUAUGUAUAAACACGUUAUGAAUAUACUUAGUGUUAGACUUGUGAUCAAAUGCAAGGAAAACUACGAAUUCGCAUUAAUUUUUCAUAUACAACUAUUUGAGAAUAUGAUUAUAAUAUGAUAAUAACAAUAACACCUAAAUUAGUUAGUAACACUUUAAGAAAUAAUCAAGUAAAUAAUUAUCAAAAUUGCCGUAUAACUCAUAUUGAUGGUAGAUGUAUUUGUGUUCUAAAUAUGUUUUAAUAAGGAUAACAAAAUGAUUUUUAUAAUGUCGAUAUACACCAACAUAUUCAAAAAUAGUAGGUAGGUUAAGUUUUUAUUUAUCAGAAUUUUGUUCAAAAGGUAAGCUAUUUUUUAUGUAUUUUUCUUAAAAUAGUAGGUAGGUUAACUUUAAUCUUUAUGUAUAUUUCUUGAAUUGGUUGCAUAUUUGAAUAGUUUGAUAUAUGUGUACCUGAGUGGAGAGAUGGGGCCCAGGCACGGUCGGUUGAUGUAGUGUAGUUGCUGACGUGUCGGUCUUCUUCUCCUUCAAUCGGUCGCUCCUUCUUGGUGUCUCCUUCGGUCGGGCGGGGGAGGGUACCUGCGAAGGCACUCCGACGCUCAAGUAAGUAUGAGAUUCUAAGGGAGGUUUAGUAAGUGAAUCAAAACGUACCUUUCUCUGGCUUGAGCACUGUAUUUAUAGGAUUGCUAAAUGGGCUUUCUACCUCUAAAUGGGCUUUCUACCUCUUGGGCUCAGGGUGGUUAUGGAUAGGUUUUACCAAUCGUGCUCCGGAAUACCCGGGGGAAAAUAUCUUCUUCACACACGUAUUCCUUAUUUUUCGGAGUAUCUUAACUACCUUAGUCUUGUUGCGCCCUCACAUUUAUUAUGAGUUCGGUCGGCCGGUUGGUACAUCUGUUCGUCCGGUGCCUGCCAGUACAAUAUGUAUCUUCAUCUUUGGUUAGAUAAAGAUAAUUUUUUUUUUUGUCUAAAUUAUUAAAUUAUGGUGUUUUGAAGUUUAAAAAUAUAUUAACACGAGAGUUAUAAGAUUGUAAUGGUGAUUGAAAAUAAACUUAUUUUUUCCUUUAAUAGUGACUAGACUCACAUAGAAAAAUGUAUCGAGUUGUGAGAGUUUAUUGAAGUUUAUAUGAUGGAUGGAUACUUAUAAGUUAGUUAUUAUUAAUCUUUGAUGAAAAUCUUUUAAAUGAUAUAAAAUAUGUGAGUGAUAAUAUAACUUGUUAUUAUUUUAUUUUAUGUUUUUUAAUUGCUAUCUUAUCCUUUAAUAAGUUUAUAUUAUAAUUUGAAUGUGAUUAUUUAUGAAAAGUUAAUUUUUUCUAAAGAAAUAAAUUGACGUAUUGAGAUGAUAUAUUUAAUAUUUUAUACUUUUAUUUAUAUAUACACUAUCAAUUUGAUAAGUAAAACAUGAUGAAAAAAAACUAAGUAUUUGAGUUAAUCGAGUCAGAAAUUAAAUAAAUAUAUUAAUAAGUAAUUGAGUUAAUUAGGUCAAAUAUAAUCAACACACACCUUUUAUUGUUAUUAUUUUGUGAAUUUAAUAGUUUUUUAAGUGUUUCAUAUUAACAAAAUUGAUCAUUAUAUUUUUCAUAAUUCACAAUUUGAUUGAUCUAUUUUAAUUUUGUAAAUAUGGGUGAACAAGUAAUUACUUGCUAAACCAAUAACUAAAAUGAUAAUGUCAUACAUCUACAUGAUUUUUAUUAAUUGAAUUUUUAAAAAAUGCACACAUGAACAUUUUAUCUUUCUUUAUUGUCAUAGAGGAAACAGGAAAGGGAAGAAAAAAGAAAGGAGAAAGAGUAAAAAGAAAGAAAAGUUGUUUGAAUGGAGAAAAAUACAAUAAGUGUAAAAUUAAGAAAAAAUGUAAGUAAUUGACUUGAUACAUUAUAAGAAAAUCAUUAAAUAAAAAUUAAUUUUAAAGAUAAAAAAUAAUUAGUGGUUAUAUUAACUAAAUUAAAAAUAUUUUAAAAAAAUAUUAAUUUUUAAAUUAAUUUCUAUUAUUAAUAAAUAUUUUCUAAUUAAUUACCAAAAUUUUAUCUAUCAACUAAUUAUAUUUUCCCACUAUAAGACUAAUUUUACUUUUGAGUAUCACUCAGGUCUAAGUUUUUUUUUCUUCCAAUCUUUUUAAUGAAUAAAUAAUUUAAGACAUAUAAAAUUUGGUUAAAAAUUGUAAUAAUGACUGUUUUUGAAUAUAUAAAUUUAAUUUUUAGUUUAUGAUACAUAAUUUUUACUAAGAUACAUUAUUAAUAAUAGCUGUUAAAGAUAAAAAAAUAAAAUAAACCCAGGACUAACUGUAUUAAAAGUUAUGAGAUGUUAAAUGAUUUUCUAAAACACUUCUGUUGAACAAAAACAAUUACAAAUACUUCUGACAAUGAAAGCUAAUUUUUUUUAUUUAAUAUAAUUAUUGUAAUUUACAUAUAUACACAGAGAUGAUAAUUAAAAAAUUUAAUGGAAAUAUUUUAAAUAUAUAUUAUGAUGUAAAGCUAUAUUUUUAGUAUUUAAUUUUUAAAAAUUAUAUAUAUUGGUAGAUUGGAAAUGAUAAUCAAUUAAAAGAAUCAAGUGUGAAAACAAAGACCAAAGAAUGAACGUUUAAUAAACAAAAAAUAAGUAUAACGCUGGCGUUUAUGAAUUAAUUAUAUUUUCUGAUUUUAUUUACCUUUUUUUUCUUUCAAUUCUAAUAAUAGCCUUUUAUAUUCUAUUCGUUUAUUAGUUAGCGUACAAAAGUUCACUUAGACACAAAUAUAGAAGAAAAUGAGUGUUUUUAACUCAUAUAUCAAUCCACUUAUGGGCCGAAACGUUGCAAUGACGUUUUCUUUUCCACCUCCACACAUUUUUUCUUGAAAUUACGUAAUUGUUAUGAAAAGUCAAAUUUAUUCUUUUUUGAAUUAUACGAUUUAGAAUGUAUUUUUUAAUUUAAAAAAUAUUUUUAAAAUUCUAUAAUUCAAAAAUAUUUUUUUAUUGAAUAUUUUUUAAAUUAUAAAAUUUUAAAGAUAUUUUCGAAUCUAUAAAAUAUAUUUCAAAUUUUACAAUUUAAAGUAUAAAUUAUAUUUCGAAUUAUACAGUUUGUAAAUUUGUAAAGUCUACUGAUUAUACAAUUCAGAAAUGAAAAAAAACAAAUUCAAAACACUUUUUGUCAAAGAAUAAUUUUGAAAUUAAAAGAAUCAUGGAGGUGCAGGAAAAUCUGUGGAGGUGCACGAAGAAAUCUCCAGCAACUGAAAUGGGUCAAACCGGCCUUUUUGUCAUCCCAAAAUACCUGGAAGAAAUUUCAUACCAUCAGUUUAAAUGGUUAAUUUAGUACUUAGAUUUUAGCUAAUUAUUAAAAAAAUAUUUAAAUAAUAAUAUCGAAAUUUUAUUUGAGAACUUAAAACAGUAAUAUAUGUCAAAAUAAAUAAAUAAAUAAAUAAAUUUCAGAAACUUAAAUUAUUACGACGACGAUAUACAACAAAAUCAUUAAAUUGAGCGUUUACUAAUUUUUUUUCUGCAUAAUUUGUCUGUUCUAUGGAGCCAUUAACAUCUAUUUCUAUCACCAACAUGGCUUUGACAAUUUGGCAGAUAUCCAAAAAUGCAGAUCGUUUUCUCAGUUUUUGUUUAGUUUGUUUGGUGCAGACACCAAUAUGAAAGACAACUUGAUGAUUUCACAUCUUAGACUUUUUGUUUCUCACGAUAACUGAUUGUAUCAAGAAACAAGAAAAGGGUGAGAAAUAAAAUGAAUGAUUACCGUUAUUUAAACCAUAUAAAUAUAUGCUUUUGCAAAAAUUUAAUAUUUUUUCUAAGUUUAAAAUAAACAAUAUUUCAAUUCUUUUAUACGAACGAACUUUAAUAAGAUUUUUUUCUACAAUAAAAGUAAGAGUUGUUUUAUUUUUUAAAAUUUAAAAUGACUUUAAAAAGUUGUUAAAAUAUAUAAGUUAAAAUAUUGAUUUUUUUACUUAAACAAGUGCCAAUUAAUAGAAUAUCAUUUUCAUAAAAUUCAGAUGAUUUGUAUUUUGGAAUUUCACAUAGUCCUUUUUCUUAAAAAGUUUAUAACAUCCACCUUAUAGUUACAUAAUAAUACUAAGAUGUAUUAAAGUAAUAUACAAACAUAUUAUUAUAAUCUAACUUUACUAGAAAAUCAUUAAAUCAUUAAAUAGAAACCAAUUUUAAAAAUAAAAAAUUAUUAAUUUUUAUAAUGACUAAAAUAUUAUUUUAAAGAUUAAAAAAAUUAGUAUCUAAAUUAGUUUUUAUUAUUGAUAAAUAGUUUUUAAAUUGGUAUUUAAUUAGCUACCUAAGUUUUAGCUAUCAAUUAUUUAGAUUAUAAAGUUGAUAUAUAAAACUUUGGUAUUUAAUUAUAUAUCAAUUUAUAAGUUAUUUAUCAAUAAUAGAAACUUAUUUAGAUACCAAUAAUUUUUUUAGUCUCUAAAAUAAUAUCUAAUUUUGUCAAUAUAACAACUAAUUAUUUUUUAUCUUUAAAAUUAGUUUUUAUUUAAUUACUUUCUUGUAAUGUAAUAUCCAAACAACAUAUAUAGUUAUUGGUUACGUUACACUUCAUUAUAGGUUUAAAUUGGGGCGGAAUAUGUGGGUUGGCAUGUGCGAUUCAAUAAGAAAAGAAUGCAUGGUCUAUUUUAAUCUACAAACCUAUUUAGAUUUGUCGCACAUAAUACGCAGUUUGCGCAGAUUAAUUGUGGGUGGGAUGGGCCAACCUGCAUAUAUUAAAGUUUUGAAUUCUUUUUAUCUUACAUUUUUUUUUUAACUCUCAUACUCUAAAAAAUUUCAAAUUUAACUCAUGUUCUACAAUCAGAAAUGAUUUUUUGUAUUCUUAGUUGUACCAUCUAAAACACAAAAUUUAACUUUUGAAUUCUAUAAUUUGGGAAAUUUCCAAAUUCCACAUUCUAAAAUUAAAGAAAAAAGAUUUAAUGUAAAAUAUCAAAAGAUAGAUUGAGUAGGUUUUGAAAUAUUGGGAAGAAACUUCCCAAAUUCCUAAUUCAUAAUACUUUUCUGGAAUUCAGUAAGACUUUAUGAUUUUUUUUUUAUAUUUAAUAUAGUGAAUUUGUCUUUGUAAGAUGUAUAGAUUUCAAUACUCACAGUAUAAUAGUAAAAUCUAUGUUAUUUUUAUAAUAAAAUUUAAAUAUAAUAUUAUAUAUUAUAUUAUUUUUCAAUUACAGUAGUAACUAUUUGUCUACAUAAAUUACCUUAAAAUAUAUAUAUAUAUAUAUAUAUAUAUAUAUUUAAUAAAAUAUUUUAUUAGUAAAUUAUAAUAAAAUACAAAUUUUUGAGAAUAUCAUAAUAAUUUAUUUUAUUCAUAUCUUAUUAUACAUAUAUUUAUAAGAAUAAUAUUAUUAAACCAUUUACCGAUUAUAUUUUACUAAUCCAAUGUAUGACAUGGUUAUUAACAAACCAUAAAACAGUUAGAGAUGAUGAUAGGGAUAAACCGGAACUGGGAUAACUUGCGUUGCAUGUGUCAUCAUAAUUAAAUCAGUAAACUAGCAAUUAACUCCAUAACACGGCAAUCAUGUUUCUUUGAUUUUAUUUCUGUCGUUCUUGAAUACAUGCAAAAAAAAAGGACACGUCCUUUCGUGUGACCAAGAAAAUGAAAACUAUACCUCGUUGCAAAGAAAAUUUAACAUAUUACAUUGUCUAACAUGUAUGACCACAUUAUUAGUUAAUUAGUUUCUCCCUUGGACCUUUCAUCGUCAACAACAUCACCCUUUAAUUACUCCCUGUUCUCAUCACGAUCAUGAGUUGGCACCACAUGUUUCCCAUCUUUCUCUGCACUGUUUGCGUUCUCCACCAUUUCACCUUCUCUCGUGGCUGCUUCCCUGAAUCUCUUGUAUAUGUCACCUUUGUAAAACUUUCUUGUCCUACCCACCAAAACCACCGAAACCAUGGCACCAAAGAAAGUUGCAGCUGUGAUGAUAAUGAAGGAUAGCUUGAAGCAAUGAACACCUACACAGUUCAGUUCCUGCCCUUCCUUUCUCUCAAGCCCCAACGCUGCAAGUUGCUUCUUUGCUUCUUUGUCAUACAAAUGCCCAGUCAUCACCACAUUGAGAAGAUAUAGCCCCACUGGACUCGCUGCACUUCCAAAAUUGUACAAAGUUGCAUAAUAUUUUAGUCCAAAAAGUUCAGAUAUAAUGGCAAAAAGUAAAGGCCACUGAGCUCCAAAACAGAACCCGAUGAUCACCGAAGCAGCAUAAAGUCCAUUUGGCACAUCAAAGGCUAUCAGAAGGUGGCCAACACAUGAUAGGAGCAUAGUUAAAGUGAGCAUAAGAGGACGAGGGAAGUUGUACUUGUGUAGAAAAUGUUCAGAAACAAAUCCAGAAAAAACCCUUCCUAGAUAAUUCCAAAUGCUCACUAGCGACACGAAAGUGCUUAUGCUUUUCUUGGGGUAUCGAAGCGACUUUCCUAUCUGACCCAGGUUAUCUAUUGCAGUCAACGUGCCCCCAAUACCACAUAUGCUACAUAUGAAAAGUAUUAACAUGUCGAUGCUGAAUAGUGCUUGAAGUAUUGUAUAGUCCUCGCCUCUUUCUGGUGGACUAAACACAUUUUCCCACCACUUGGUGUCGCUGGAAACUGCUGUAACUGAAUUGCUACCAUUAGUAGUUUCAUUCGGUUUAACCCUUUCACUCUCGGUUACUAUUUUCACCGGGGAAGGAUCAACCAAAGCAAGUCUUUUGCUCUGCCAGAUCUUGUGUUCUUCGAUGGAAACAACAGCAAGUGGGAGGAAGAGCAAGAAGAUUACAAUAGCGGCGCUGAUACCAUACUCACUCUGAGUGAAGUUCACCCUUUUCUGUAUUGUAAUCAUGACCAAAAGAAACCCAGCAAGGCCAAGAGAAAUAUAGAGAAAGUUGUAGAAAACCUUGAGCUCGUUCUGCUGCCUCACCGGCUUCAUGUAGCGAAUGGUUCGAAGGAAAGCAAAGGAAAUAGCAGCUGGAAGCCAACCUAUGAGCAAAAUCAAAGCCCUUGUGUCGUCGUAGUAGAUAGCAGAGUACAAUUGUGUGAUGAUUGCACCACUGAGACCCACGUAGCCUUUGAGGAUGCCCAACACAACACCACGGCUUUCUGGAAAGUUCUUGACACACGUGACGAGAGAACCGGUGUUGGCGAAGGACUGAGAGUUAGCACCUAUGCAGAUGUAGAGACACAUCUGCCACACCUGGGGUUUGGCUAUUUUCUGGGUGACUGAGAGCCAAAUCAUGAAGUAACCAAAGAAGUUGAGGACAGCACCGAUGGCUAGCACCACCCAGGGUGGAGUGAGCUCGUUGAUGAGACCAGAGAGGACUCCAACGUUAGUGCCCAAGUCCUUGAAGAAACUGAGGAGAUUGAGAGUGGUUUGGUCGUAGCCAAGGGUGGUUUUGAUGUCGCCUGAGUAGAGACCGAACAUGUAGGUGGCUCCAGCAGCAGCCAUGAUUAGAAAGGAGGCAAAGACGACGAACCAUCUACCAGUGAUGACUUGGAGGGUGAGACUCUUCAUGUCUCUCCAUCCAUGAACACCCAUGGAAGCUGCACCUAUCGCCAUGUUUGUGGAUACCAAGCACAAAAUAGCUAGCAGGCACAGUGCAAGUGCAUAUUCGUGGAAAUUGAAGUCAAUAUAUAUAGUGUGUGUGACUGUAUUUUUAAAAUACAUCAACCAGAGUUGACCGUUACGUUAUUUAAGCCAAUCUCCGUCAUGAUAUUAUAACAUUAGAGAAUCUAUAACACUUCCAUUUUUUCAAUUUUUCAUGAUAUCACCUUUCAUAGAAAAUGUUUUGUGAAUUCACAGCCACCAAAUUAGUAUAUACAUAUAAACCUGGAAAAUGAAAACUGUAAUAGACAGAUAACAUAAUUGAAAUAAGAGAGGAAAUGAGAAUUUAUCAAUGAAGUAUAGUCAAUGAUUAAUAUUUUAACUAUUUUAAUUUUAAUUUUAAUUAGAAAUAUUAUAAUAUUAUUAUAAAGGGAUGUGGAGUAGUGUUAUUUACUGUUUCUAGUCUUCACAAAAUAUACACAUGGAAUAUACAUGGAGAUCCCAAAUCGACUAGAGAUUAGAGCCUUUUAUUAUAUAUAAGUGGGUUCAAACCUCAAUCUCAUGAGCCGUUUUAUGGGAUUGAGUUAGGCUUAAAGUCCUAACAUGGUAUCAGAGCAUGUUUUCGAGCCUAUCCUAACGAGUAUUUGUUGGACCUAUCGUGCCACCCGCUAUCGGACCAUCCAUAAUAUAUAGUCCACCUCAAUACCACAGAAGUUUUCUUAACACUGUGAACAUAGUAAAUAGCACUAUUCAAUAACCUUUAUAAUAAUAUUAUAGUAUUUUUAAUUAAAAUUCAUUUUCUGAUAUGAAAGUAAACUCUGGUGCAGAUUACUAGAUAGUUUUCCAGAUAUGGAAUAUAGAAGACAGAGGUGGUGUCUGAGAUUCCUUAAGUGUAUGAAAUCCUAAACAUAAUCUGUUUCUGAUUUUGUAAGCUGCCAUUUCUGAUUUGUAGCCACAAUUUUUGGGAUCUUAUGAACCCUUUCAUAUCAUAUGUAACAGCUAUCUAAUAAAUCAUUCUCACCAAAAUUUUCCACCAUUUCCCACUCUAUCUUAAUUCUCUUUUUAUCUUUCUUUAUUCUUCCAUUCCUUGCUGUAACAUUUGACCUCGUCGUGCCAAAAAAAUUAAGUCAUACUGUCACUGUAUUCAGUCACUGAAAAUUGAAAUGGUUCUAUAAUAUUCAAAAGGAAAAUGAUUGACAGCGAUAAUUCUUCCAUUAGAUUUAUUUGGAGUAUUUUUAAAAAUUCAUUUUCUGAUUUGGAUUUCAAAAAAGAAGAAGUAAUUCCAAUUUAAAAUCAGGAGAAAUUACCAUAAAUUUUAAUUUUUAGAUGUAGAAAUCAGAUCAAAUAUGGUAAGACUCUUUAGGGAUUUUUUUUACUAUUAUUUACCUUAGUACAGAGUUUAUUUAGUGAAUUUAAAAUAAAACAUUUUAAUUGAAUUCAAACGUGAGAUAAUUUUGUUUCAUUAAAAUUUAAACUAGAGUCAUAUUUGCAAAUCAAAGGUUGAAUUAAAAUUUUGCUAUUACUUAAGUUUGAGGGCAAAUGUGGAAGUAGGAUAAGUUCAAUACUUAGUCUAACUUUAUAUUUUAAUGUCUAAGAUAACUUUAACCUUUAUGAUAACUUUCCGGAAAUGUAUUUUAUAACAACGUGUUUAAACAAAACAUAUAUUUCUUAAGAUUUUUUAUAUGUAAUUAUAGCAUAUGUUUAAUUUAAUCUUAAUUAUAAGAUUUAUGUUUAGACGCACAUUAGUGUGUAAUCAAACCAGCUCAUAAGCAACAGGGCGGCUAGGUAUGAAAGACUUGGAAUUAUUUAUUACUAUUAUUAUUAUUAUUAUUAUUAAAUUAAAGAAAGUGGUUGACCCUGGAAUAUUGGGUUCUUCCUUAGUGUGGAAUCUGGAUCUGGUGAAUAUGGUGAUAAGAAACGUAGAAGACUCUGAAAAGUAAUUAUGGCUAAUUAAUCCAAGUCAACAAUUCCAUAUAAUAUAUUCUUUAAGAAAAAAUCAAGGAUAUAAACCAAUUGUAUGUCACAUUUUAUAUAUCCAUAAUCAGUGUAGAAAAUUCUUCAAAAAUAAUAAUAAUUAAUAGCUUAUUAUAAGUUUCUCUUAAUUAUGGAGAAGAUGUUAAACAAGAAAAAUAAAAAUAUAUCUAUUAUCGUUUAAAAUAGUUACUUUUAAGUUACUGAAUUCAAAUUUCCCUUUUCUAAUUGCGUUAUAUAUAUUGCUGAUAAAAAAAUAUGUAAAGAACAACUAUUACAACUAUUAGAAGAGAGUUUAAAGUUCAUGAAAAAGGGAAAUUGCGUUGUUAAAUUAAAAAAUUACAUAUAAAAGCCGAAACAAUUUGAUUUUUCUAUUUCUCUAAAAUUAUAAUUUUCCUUAAAAAUAAAGAUUCUAUUUUUUCUCUACGUUUUCUUUAGAGUUUUCUUAAAAUUUUAACAAUUAAAAAAAAAAGCAUUUAUGCAAUGUUAGUUUUUACUGUUGCACUGCUUAUUAGGAUAAAAAGGAGGGGUCAUUCUUGUUCGGCUUAGUUCUGAGGUGUGAUUAGCUGUAGUGGUGGUGUAAUUAGUUGUUAAAGGUGUUGUGGCUAGUAACUGCUAUUAUAAUAUAAAAAAUAAUUACUUUCCAUCCUAACACUCACAAAUUUCAAUAAAAAAAUUUGUAUAUUCAUUCUAAUAUAUUAUAAUCCAAAUAACUUAACUUCAUAUUUUUCUCUCAAAUCUUCAUAUUAACUCCUUCAAUUCUUAACACAUUUGCACCCCAAAUCAAACAUCACCUUAAAUCAAAGUAAUAAGUCAUGAUGAAUCAUAAAUAAUAUAAAUUAUUGAUUAAAAAUAUUAAUCAAUAAAAAAUAAAUUAAUAACUUACUCCUUAGUCAACAAUCAACAUGUCCAUGGUCAUCACCACUCAAUUGGUGGCAUGUCGACCAUACUCCAUCCAAUCACUACGACCAACCUUGCCAUAAAGAUGGCAAUAGGGGUGGGGCUCUACAGUAUGAAUACGAUGGCAAUACGAUUUAAACAAACCAUUAAUGAGUAUUUGUUAAAUAUAAGAUUUAAACAAGAAUUAAAAAAUAUUUUCGAUCAUAUAUUUAAGCUAAAAAUAGUUUUAUAUUUGAAAAUAUUUGUACUAAAGAUAAAUUAAAACAAUUUAAUUUAUGUGUUUGAAAUAUAUACCAUUUGUCAAGUAUUAUUAAGUUAACUAAAUUAGUGUAACGAGGCUAAAGAAAAAACUAAUUUAACCUGACAGAUAAAAUUUAAAAAUUUAAAUCGACGGGGAAGAAAAAUUCUACUUACUCAUUAUAUUUCUCAAUUCUGCUUGCGUGAUGAAAUGAAUUAUUGUAGAAGUAUCAUCUUUUAAAUAUGAUUUUUGUUCUUACACAAAAGUGACAUUUUUUCUGCUGAAUAUGGACAAUAUUUCUCCUAUUAUAAAGUUUGAGCCCCAAAAUAUUAAUCAUAUUUAGAUUUUUCUAAUUACAUAUUUACCUGCAAAUGACAAAAUAAUUAUGACAUUGUGCUCUAAUGAUAUAUAAUACCUACAAGUCUGUUAUUAUUUAAAAGUUUAGGUAAAAAGUAGUUGGGAAAUAUAUUUUUUUCUUAAACUAUAAGGUCCUAAGGUACCUUUAAAAAAAAUAAAAGCUAUAUCAAAACCAUCAAAUUCUAAAUAAGAUAAUCCAUUAAAUAUGAUUUUAACGAUAUUAUCUUGAUUUAUGGUUUAUAUUAUCCAUUUCCACCUCCACUAAUAUCUGGAAGACAAACAUAAAAACUAAUUUAUGACACGAGAUCUCCAAUAAAUAAAUUACUUGAUAUAAUAUAAUAAUAUUUACAUUAAAAUUUAAUUAUAUAUAUAUUUUUUCAUUUUGUGGUGAAAUUUAUAACUUCAAUUUUCCCAUAUUUAAUUACUAAUUUUUAUAUUUUUAAUGUAUUUUUAAAAUUUUUAAAAAAUUAUGCAUUACUCUUGUUUAUUUUCUAAUUGCACAAUUUUAGUUUUUAAUUUGACAAUUAAUAUUCUCAUAUAAAAAAUUUAUACUAAAAACUUAUUUAGACACUAUUUUUUAAAUAAUACAUCAAUAUUCCAUGCAAACAUAAAUUUAAUUAAAUAUAAAAAUAACUAAAAUUGUAUUAGCAUGAUAUAAUUUCAUUGUGAUUGAUUUGAAUUUAAGUAGUGUCACGCUAGAUGACUUUAUUUAAAAUAAAAUAAAAUAUUAAAUUUUAAUUAACAUUAAUUAAAAUUGUGUGACUCAAACAUAACUUUUUCUCUAACACUAUUGACAUAAUUUAAUUUGUACAAAUCCAAACUCAUUCAUAACGUCAUGUUAAAAAAAUGGACAAUAUUUUCAAAAUUUGUCAAUUUUGAUAAUUUUUCUGAAAAAAUCAACUUAUUUGAUUAAAAAACCCGUGUUUUCCACACCAUUGUGAAUAAUAAAUGUUAAUUCUUGUUUUUCAAUUUGAUGGAUUAAGAAAACAUUUAUUUUUAAUUUGGAGAAGUAAAAUAAAAAUUCACCUAAAUACAAAAGAUUAAAAAAUAUUUUAACUAAAAUAUUUAAAAAGUGAAUUUCUACAUUAUUAUUUUAGAUAAACAUAUUAUUACUCUUCUAGAUAUGGUUAAUCAUGUCACUAAAUGAUAAAAAAAAAGCAUUUUCUUAAAUUCAAACCGAAAAGAAUAUUUUUUUUUAAAAAAAAUUUAGGGAUUAACAUAUGUUUUGUUUAUAUUAUAACUUUAUUUUAUUAUUAUUAUUAUUAUUAUUUAUAAUUAUUGUUGUUAUUAAUAGUAUAAUUAAAUAUUUUUGUUAGAUAAUUUAUGUAAUAUUUGAUAUGAGAAUCGAUUCUCCACGUAUCAUAUUAAAAAAAAUCUAUUUUAAGUAUAUGAGAAUCAUUUUUUCUUGAAUAACAUAUGAGUGGGAAUCGAUUUUUCUUUUAAAUAGCACAUGAGCGAGAAUUGAUCCUCUCUUGAAUAACACAUGAGUGAGAAUAGAUCCUCCUUUGAAUAACACACGAGUGAAAAUUGAUUUUGGUUCCUAUUGAAAGCAUGCCAAAUUGAUUUCACUCACCUCCAAUGUGCUUUUUUAGUGCUUUCUUUUUUCUCUUUAUAAGUGUCUCACUGUCAUGGGUAUCACAGUAAAAUACUCUGGUCUACCUGAAAAUCACCUUGAAUCCUUGCAUAUAAGAGAAGAAUAAGAAUUUCACUUCACUCAGACAAGUACCUUUAAAUUAGUUGAUCUAAAUAUACCAGUCACUCACACAAAAUCAGACUUGAUCUAGUUACACUAUUAAGAGAAAGAAUGACCGAGAAAGGUGGCUGAUUGUAAGUGAGACAAGUAAAAAAAGUCAAAAGUAUGUUAAAUGGGUUACUAAUCAUGUAGAAUUUUUUUAAAAAUUAAUAGUUUUUAAAUUUUAAGAGCCACUAAAUUGUAGAAUUGAGUAAAUUCAAACUUACUUUCUUCUCAAAUAUCAUAUGUUAUCAGCAGAAAACAUGACACGUGGAGAACAUACAAUUUGCCUCUACUUUCCCUCAUAAUCAUUUCUUUCAAACCACCAAAUCCAAGUAGUGACUCACCCAAGUGACAAUAAGAACCCAAAUACGUUUGUUGUCAUGGAAAUGCUAAAAUAACUCGUGGAGCUUUUGAUUUGAUUUAGAAUGAUUUUUUUUAUACUUCUCUUUUUCUCUCACUUUUAUUUCAUAACUCUUUUAAAUAAUAAAAUAUUAUAUUCAACUAAUAAAAUAAAAAUAAAUGAAAUUUUAAAAUAAAAUAAUAUUAUUAUUGGUUGUAAAGUUGAGAGUAUGGAAAAAUUAGAGUGUGGAAAAAUCAGAGUUUCAAAGUAUCAUUCUCUUUUUUUUAUUAUCAUAAGUAUAUGAGGCACUAGAAUGCCUCAACAAGUGUUUUCCUACCUAUUUACACUGUUUGUAUCUUUCUACAAGUGUUUUCUUGAAACUUUUGUUUAAUCUUUAAAAAAACAAUUUGUUGAGUGCCAUGACAAAAAAAAGUUUUGAUUAGAGUGUUAUAUGUUGACUUGAUUAGCUGUAAGAAUCAUAUUUUAAUGACAUAUUGUAUACAUCGGGAAUAUAUUUAAAAUUAGUCUCAUUUCAUAAAUAAUAUAAUUCAUCACCACAGGUUACAAAAGAUAAGCACAUUUAGUGUUGUUAGACGUUAUCAUGCAGCCACUUGCAUAAAAUAAUUGCUUUAGAAAGAUUAUUAAGAUAUUUCAUAAUUAUAUAUAUAACUAGUUUUAAAUUUCAUUUUAUAAAGUUGAAUUAAGCUUAACAUCCAUUUUUAUCCACUUUUUAAUAUAAUAUUAAUUUUGUAAAGUUGAAUUAGAUUUAUAUAUAGUAUCAAAGUUUAUUUUGAAUAUAUUCCAACUAGAGUUUUUUUUGAACUUAUUAGACCAUCUGUUAUACGAGAGUUUGUUGGACUUAUUAGAUCAAAUCAACUAUUUAUAAUACAUAGUUUCACUCAUUAGUUGGUAUAUCGACAAGUGGAUGCAAACCUCAUCUUAUAAAUCAAUUUUAUAAAAUUUGAGUUAGAGUUAAAAUUUAUUUUUAAUAAAAAAAGAAUGUGCAAACCCUAAAUUUGGUCAAAAAUUAAUUUUUUUUAUUUGAUCUUUGUGUUCCCUUUGAAGAUUUGAAAAGAUAUGUAACAGAGAGCAAAGGAGGGGAAUAGUCAACUAUUACGAUAACAGGGCAAUCAUGUUUCUUUUAUUUAUUCUACUCACUAGAAAAACUGCGAAAAAAAAGGCUCGUCGUUUUGUGUGACAAAGAAAAUGAAAAGUAUACAUUACGGCAAACAAAAUGUACCAAACUAUAAUGUUACAUGUUACAUUAUUAAUUAAUUUUUUUGUUUGAAGCUUGACUACAACAAGAUCAUGUUCUACCAUAUUAGUCCUACUUCUGAGUUAGCACCAUCUGUUUCCCAUCUUUCUCUGCCUUGCUCGUGUUCUCUACCGCCGCCAUUUCACUUUCCGACACGGUGGCUGCAUCCCGGAAUCUCUUGUAUAUGUCACUACUGUAAAACUUUCUUGUCCUCGCCACCAAAAUCAGUGAAACAAUGGCACCAAAGAAAGUUGCUGCUGCGAUGACAAUGAAGGAUAGCCUGAAGCAAUCGACCCCGAUACACUUCAAUUCCUGCCCUUCCUUUCUUUGAAGCCCCAACGCUGCGAGUUGCUUCUUUGCUUCUUUGUCAUACAAAUAACCAGUCAUUUUCACAUUAAGCAGAUAUAACCCCAGUGGACUUGCUACGCUUCCAAAAUUGUACAAGGUUGCGUAAUAUUUUAGUCCAAAAAGUUCGGAGAUAAUGGCAAAAAGUAAAGGCCACUGAGCGCCAAAACAGAACCCGAUAAUCACCGAAGCAGCAUAGAGUCCAUUUGGCACAUCAAACGCUAUCAGAAGAUGGCCAACACAUGAUACGAGCAGAGUUAAAGUAAGCAUAAGAGGACGGGGAAAUUUGUACUUCACUAGAAAAUGUUCAGAAACAAAUCCAGAGAAAACCCGUCCCAGGUAAUUCCAAAUGCUCACCAAGGACACAAAGGUACUUAUACUUUUCUUAGGAUAUCUGAGAGAGGAUCCUAUCUGACCCAAGUUGUCUAUUGCAGUCAACGUGCCCCCAACACCACAUAUGCAAGUCAUGAAAAGUAUCAACAUGUCGAUGCUGAAUAGUGCUUGGAGUAUUGUAUAGUCCUCGCCUCUUUCCGGUGGACUAAACACAUUUUCGCACCACUUGGUGUCGCUGGAAACUGCAGUCUUCCCAUCAGUGGCCUCAUUCGGUUUCACUUUUUCACCCUCGGUGACGAUUUUCACCGGCGAGGGGUCAACCAGAGCAAGUCUUUUACUCUGCCAGAUCUUAUGUUCUUCGAUAGAAACCACGAGAAGUGGGAGGAAGAGCAAGAAGAUCACAAUACCAGCGCUCACACCGUACUCACUCUGAGUGAAGUUCACCCUUUUCUGUAUUGUAAUCAUGACCAAAAGAAACCCAGCAAGGCCAAGAGAAAUGUAGAGAAAGUUGUAGAAAACCUUGAGCUCGUUCAGCUGCCUCACCGGCUUCAUGUAGCGAAUGGUUCGAAGGAAAGCAAAGGAAAUAGCAGCUGGGAGCCAACCUAUGAGCAAAAUCAAAGCCCUUGUGUCGUCGUAGUAGAUAGCAGAGUACAAUUGUGUGAUGAUUGCACCACUGAGACCCACGUAGCCUUUGAGAAUGCCCAACACAGCCCCACGGCUUUCUGGAAAGUUCUUGACACACGUGACUAGAGAACCGGUGUUGGCAAAGGACUGAGAGUUAGCACCUAUGCAGAUGUAGAGACACAUCUGCCACACCUGGGGUCUGGCUAUUUUCUGGGUGACCGAGAGCCAAAUCAUGAAGUAACCAAAGAAGUUCAGGACAGCACCAAUGGUUAGGACCACCCAAGGUGGAGUGAACUCGUUGAUAAGGCCGGCGAGGAUUCCAACGUUGCUACCCAAGUCCUUGAAGAAACUGAGGAGAUUGAGGGUAGAUUGGUCGUAGCCAAGGGUGGUUUUGAUGUCGCCGGAGUAGAGGGCGAACAUGUAGGUGGCUCCGGCGGCAGCCAUGAUUAGAAAGGAGGCAAAGACGACGAACCAUCGACCAGUGAUGACUUGGAGGGUGAGACUCUUCAUGUCUCCCCAUCCAUGAACACCAACGGAACCUGCAGGUACCCCCAACGCCAUGUUUGUGGAUAGCAAGCACUGGGUAGUAGAAGAAGGUGCCUACAAAUAGAAGUCAAAGAAUGUGUCUCUGUGUUGUGAGAGCAUGCAUUAAAUAUAUAUAGACUUUCUUUCUCAUGACAACCUUGUUCUGUUCUACAACCUUUCUUUCGUUAUGAAUGUGUCAUUCUUUUUUUUUUUUCCUUUUUUUAGAAUUGUUCUGUUCUCACUUGGGAUAAGCAGCAACAUCAUCAUGGGAGAAAGAAAAAAGUAAAACACGUACGAGAAUAAAAGAGAUUUGAAAUUAUUUUCCUUCGUCUAAUAUUUAUCUUCAUAAUAACAGUAAGAUAUGAUUGAAUUGAAUACUUUUAAUUACAUUUAAUAAAAAAAUAUUUUUUGUUAUUAAUACUAUUUAUACCAUUUUAAUAGUUAACAGUAACACGUAGUUUUUUAUUACAUAUAUAGAAUCAUUUUUAAAAAGUAACAUUUAUUUAUUACUUUUAUCCAAAUAUUUUAUGGUUUAUAAAUAUAUAACUUUUAUGAUAACACUUUAAUGUAUAUCUCCAAAAUUAUAAAUAUUUAGUAAUAUUGUCAUUUUAAUUAAUAAUUAGGGAUGUAAAUAAUCAAUUAUAUAUUUGUAGGUGAUUUCAUGUUGUUAUAUCCAGAUAACUUCGAAGAAAAAUUUAUACCUAUUAUAAAUUAGAUUUCCUACUUUUUGUUGUUGCAAUUAUCAACAUAAUAAGAAUUCAAUCAUAUAUUUAUUAUAUUGUUCAUGAAUUCAUGUGUAUUUUUAAUUAUAAAAUCAAAGUGUAAGAUUGAAACCAAUAAUUUAAAUAAAAUAAGUUAAAAAGGUACUUCACAUACCAACUAAUCCAACCAUAAUAUAUGUUAUGGUUAAUACACACAAAUUUCCUCACACAUGUUGGAGCCGGUUAGUAGUACAAAAUCGUACUAAGAAAUGUUUGGAUAGACUACAACUAAGAACUUAUCUUAUGAAUAUGUUCCUGGUUGGUCAAUAAUCACUCCUCAUAGGUUUGUGUCUCAAUUGCUUAUUUUAUUUUUAUAAAUUGACUUGUUGACUAUAACAUGCUUAUGUUUAUUAUAUGUAACUUUUAAAAUAGUUAUUGCUAUCUAACAUGUUUCUGAUUAUUUUAUUAAUUUUUUAUUGUUAUGGAAAAAAACAUACUCAUUAUUAAGAUCAACAUACUAAACUUCUACAAUCAUUCCUUAUACUCAUACCAUACAACUUCUAACUAAUAUUAGUUUUUUUUUAUAACAAUAAUAAAUAAAUAAAUAAAUAGAAUCACUUUAAGGGUGAUUAAACCCUUAUACGUAACAAGACACCAUAACACAUCUCUCCAAAGCACCCACUGCUAAAUGAGGAAAAGAGUCACCACCUAUCAGAAAAUAACCAACCAACAAACAAAUAAACUAAAAGUCUCCUAAGGAAUAUCCAAUAUCCAAACUCACGAACAACCAACACUCAACCCACACAUCAAAACCAGUCAAAGAUAACAAUAAUCGAAACACUUAUAACAGAUUGAGACAAGAUAUGAGGGUUAAACACCAAUCAGAAAAGGAAAAUUGAGCAGCAGGUAUUUUAGAGGUAACCCAAGUUCAAACAUUUAGUUGGACCAAAGAAAAAAUUUCAAGAUGAUCUACCACUUCACCAUCGAAAAUAAUCUUAUUCCUAUGAUUCUAGAUUUUUCUUACCACAACAAUUCAAACGUUUCCCAGAACAGAGUUGACAGCACAAAUGUCUUGCAUAAAGAAAACUGAAUAAACUAUUAUCAGUUCCUAUGUGUUUCUUCCUCAAUAGGGUCUAAGAGUGUACAUUAUAAGACACAAAUUGUACAAGCAGACUCCAACAUUCUGAGAUCAGUAGUAGAAGCAGAAACUCAGACCGAGACAUUAGUGUUUUGGUGCAUGUGUGUGAUAUGAAGAGAANNNNNNNNNNNNNNNNNNNNNNNNNNNNNNNNNNNNNNNNNNNNNNNNNNNNNNNNNNNNNNNNNNNNNNNNNNNNNNNNNNNNNNNNNNNNNNNNNNNNNNNNNNNNNNNNNNNNNNNNNNNNNNNNNNNNNNNNNNNNNNNNNNNNNNNNNNNNNNNNNNNNNNNNNNNNNNNNNNNNNNNNNNNNNNNNNNNNNNNNNNNNNNNNNNNNNNNNNNNNNNNNNNNNNNNNNNNNNNNNNNNNNNNNNNNNNNNNNNNNNNNNNNNNNNNNNNNNNNNNNNNNNNNNNNNNNNNNNNNNNNNNNNNNNNNNNNNNNNNNNNNNNNNNNNNNNNNNNNNNNNNNNNNNNNNNNNNNNNNNUUAUUAUAUACUAAUAAUAAUAAUAUAUAUAUAUAUAUAUAUAUAUAUAUAUAUAUAUAUAUAUAUAUAUAUAACUAAUCUUUUAUUGUGUGUUUUUUUAGCAUGGUUAAAACGAACGUGAGUUGAAUUUUCUAAAAUAACUAAUUUUUUGGUUUUUUUUUUUUCUCUAAAAGAUCUUAUAAGUGCUCCCAAGUUAAUUGAACAGUUGCGAUGGAUUAAAAUACCUUAAAUUUAAAUUUAAGUACGUGUAGUAAUGUAACUUCUAUUAAUUAUGUCAUUAGUAUCUACUGAUUAACAGUUAUAAAAUAUGUGAUUUCCUACCAAUAUUAGGAAGUGUUUACUUACAUUUUUUUUAUUACUACCUACAAUUGUCGCUUUGUUUUUAAUCUAUUUUUUUUAUAGAUUUAUACGUACAGAAAAUAUUAAAAAUAAACCUUUUUUCUCUAUUUUCUAAACAAACAUUUUAAAACGGAAAACACAAAACAGAUUAAAAAUAAGGUAGUAUUUUUUAAAUUAAAAGUAGAAAAUUAGAAUAAGAAACAAAAAGUGUGUUAAAAUCCCUACCCUCUAACAAUUUUGUUAUUAAAUAAAUGAAUAAAUAGACUAAAAAUUAGUUUGACCCUUGUGUAUUGGGUUCUCCACCAGUCUAAAAUAUAUCUGGUCAAUAAACUAGUGCCUAUAAAAACUAUAAGUUGUUUUCAAAACGAUUGUCGAUAACGUAUGUUAUAAUAACAUGAAGAUAAAAGCUAUCCUCUCAUAAUAACUCUGUCUCAUUAUAUACAGAGACACGCAUAGCAGAAAAUUCAUAAAAAAACUAUAAAACAAUCUUUGUUUCUUUGUUUGUUUUCAACGAACUCAUCCGAUGAGGACUUUUAAAUGAGUACAAAAAUCAACAGAAUAGUAUUAGAACAAUUAUUAUGAAUUAUGAUUGCAAAAUAAAAUAUUACUCUCUCACCAUUAUUUUCAACUUCUUAAAGAUUGACUCAAACUACAUGGUACUACAUAUCAUCAUAUGUCAUAUGUUUUAAAAAAAAAUGCAGCACUAAAAAAAAAAAAACUAAUUUUAAAAAUCAAAAUAAUUAAUUAUUAUUUGAUUCAAUUAAAAAUCAUUUUAUAAACUAAAACAAUUAUUGGUAUAUAAAAUAAUUUCUAUUAUUAAUAAAAAUUUAUAAAAUAGUUUCUAAAUUUGUAUUUAAUCACCCAAUACCAAGAUUUUAGUUAUUUAUCACUUUAUAUUUUAAAUUAGUUUUUAUUAAUCUUUUAGAGAUCAAUUUAAAAUCAUCUUAGACACAAAAAAUAAUUAGUUGACUAAAUUAGAGACUUUUUAGGGACUAAAUAAAUUUUUGGUUUCAAAAUUAGUUUUUAUUAUCGUUAAAUAGUUUCUAAAUUGGUAUCUAAUUAACGAUCAAAGUUUUUGCUACCAAAUUUAUAAUAUAAAUAUUUGGUACUUAAAACCUUGGUAACUAAUUAAAUAACAAUUUAGAAACUAUUUAACAAUAAUAGAAACUAAUUUAGAAACAAUUUUUUUAGUUUCUAAAAUGGUCUCUAAUUUAGUUACUAUUGCAACUAAUAAUUAUUAAGGUCUCUAAAAAUUGGUUUCAUUUUCAUUUUCUUGUAAUGUAUGUAACUAUUAGAAACUAUUUUAUAGAUUUUUAUUAAUAAUAGAAAUCAGUUUAGAUAUUAAUAACCUUUUAUCUUUAAAAUAAUAUUUAAUUUAAUUAAUAUAAUAAUUAAUUAUUUUUGUCAAUAAAUUUAAUUUUUAUUUAAUUUGUUUUUUAGUGAUAUAGUUAAUCAUAGUCAUAUAUAUCUAUCUUUGAAAGACUUGUCAAUAUGGAAGAUGUUACUGUUCAUGCACCACUAAACUUAUAGCCUCUGAUCAACCAAAUAUUAGGUUAAGGAUGAACGUGAUCUGUUUUUCUACUAUUUAUCAGCCAUUGGACUUAUCAAAACCCUCUUUUUUCCUCCAAAUUCAGCUCACAUCAACCACAAGUUAGGUUAGAGAUGAACGUCAUUGUAUUGGUGUGGAAGUGGGAUUCAGUACACUACAAGAAAAUCAUAUAAACCAAUUUUUAGAUACCAAAAUACUUAAUUGCAAUAGUAACUAAAUUAUAUACCAUUAUAAAAAUUGAAAAAAAACUUGAUUUCUAAAUUAGUUUCUAUUAUUGUUAAAUAAUUUCUAAAUUGGUAUCUAAUUAGCAAACAAAGUUUUUGCUACCAAAUUUAGAAACUAAAUAAUUGGUAGUUAAAACUUUGUUGCUAAUUAGAUAUCAAUUUAGAAACUAUUUAACAAUAAUAGAAACUAAUUUAGAAACCAUUUUUUUUUAGUUUUUAGUAUAGUAUCUAAUCUAGUUACUAUUGCAACUAAUUAUUUUGGUAUCUAAAAAUUGAUUUCUAUUUUAUGAUUUUCUUAUAGUGGUGGUAUUUAUGAGAAAAAAAACGAGUCCUAAUUCACCAUCAAUAGUAUAAAUAGAUCUCUUAAAUUAUAAUUUCAUAUCAUUAUUAUUAUUUAUUAAAAUUGAAUUAAAGUAAGAUAUCACAUUAUCUAUUUUUUAUCUAUUUUAAAAAUUUAUACAUUAUAUCAAUUUUGAUUUUAUAAAAAAGAUGCAUAAAAUCAUUUUAGAUUUGAUAAGUCAUUGCUGAGAUUUUGGUUGUGUUCCUUAUUCUUGUUAACUAGUCAUAAUCUUUAUCCCUUAAAUAUUUCUUUUAUCCCUUAAAUAUUUCUUUUAAUUUUAUUCUAUUUUGGUUGUAUUGGAGACUAUGAUUCAAAUAGUCUUUAACAUUUUGUAUGAGAACUAUCACUCAAAUGCUCCAAUUUAUUUAAUUGUUUUUAUAAAUAAAAAUAAAUUAAUAAAUGUGCAAUUAUGAUACACUAGGGGAAAAUGAAAAAAAAAGAAAGAUAAUAAUUUAAUUUUAAUUAAGAUUUUUAUUAGUUUUAAUCUCAAUAUAAAGAUUAUAAUGAUUUGUUUUCAUUUCUCAAUUUCUCAUUUUAAGAGUUUUUCUCCUUGAAAGGUCCAUUCUCUCUGUCUCUAUAUAGAAAACUAAAUUUAAAUAACACUUUCAAAUAUAAAAAAAUAUUUUACUUAUUUAACAAAUAAGAAUGCGCUAUAUAUUGAACUUUGUAAUUGUGCGUGUAUAUUUUCCAAAAAUUGCAUUGAAAAGGUUUAUUGAAAAACUCUUUGUUUAUUAAUUAAAUAAUAGGUAGUUUUGCUUUUACAAGUUUAUUAUGAGGAGAAAGUAAGUUUGAUGUGUAUUAGCAUUUACUGUUCUAUUAAAUUUUGAAAUAAAAUAAUAAAAAAAUGUGAUACAGAAUUAUGAAGUUUAUCAUUAAUGUGAUUUUUUUUGUUUUUAUAUGAUAAUUCUACAAACAAAACAAAAAAUGAGCACGUAAAUUAUGUUAUUGUAUACUGCUACUUUUCUAAUAAGGAAAGAGUGCAUAUUAAUGAUACACAAUUUUUUUCUUUUCAGUAUGCAUAUUAAUCAACAUGUUAUGCAUUUCAACUUGUACGUUCACACAACACCUUCAAGUUCUUUCACACCAAGAAAUUCAAAUAGAGUGUGCCCUAUUUAAGGAAUUUUCUGAUUCAAAAUUUAAAUUACUUUAAAUUAAAUUAUUCCAGUUUUUUUUCUUAUUUAUAAUAAAAAUAUAUUUAUAAAUCAUAAUUGUAUGUUAUCUUCCAAAUUUUAAUUAAUAUUAUUUAAAUUUUUAAAAAUUAUCCUUUUUAAAUUAAUAUGUUUAAAAAUUUUAUGUUGAAAAAUCCAUCAUAUUGGUGCAAUUUUAUUUUUUCCUAUUUUUAUUUCAUAUAUUUAACUGAUUAAAUAAAAUUUUAUGAAUAUUCACUACAAGAAAAACAUGAAAUAUAAACCAAUUUUUAGAGACCAAAAUAAUUAAUUGCAAUAAUAACUAAAUUAGAGACCAUUUUAGAAACUAAAACAAAAAUUGGUUUCUAAAUUAGUUUAUAUUAUUGUUAAAUAAUUUCUAAAUUGGUAUCUAAUUAGCAACGAAUGUUUUAGAGACCAAAUUUAGAAACUAAAUAAUUGAUAGUUAAAACCUUGGUUGCUAAUUAGAUACCAAUUUAAAAACUAUUUAACAAUAAUAGAAAUAAUUUAUAAACCAAAUUUUAUUUUAGUUUAUAAAAUGGUAUCUAAUUUAGUUACUAUUGCAACUAAUUAUUUUGGUCUCUAAAAAUUAGUUUCUAUUUGAUGAUUUUCUUGUAGUGAUUUAAAUGAAUAUAUUAGGAGUAUAUAUAUAUAUAUAUAAAUUGGAUCAAAAUGGUAGAGUAACUAAAAAGAGGAUGAAAUAAAUUUAUUUCAAAAGGAAAUUACCAAAAUUAUACAUUAAAAGAGACUAAAAUUAUUAAUUAAACUUUUUUUAUUUUAUGAACAAAAAAGAUACAUGUGUUUUGUCUGUGUUUAGUUAUAUUUAUUAAAUUAUUUGUUUAAAUUUAAGAAAAAAUAUUUUUAAAUGAUAAUGAUAUUAAAUAAAUUUUAUUAAUUAUUACUCACUUAUAUUUGAAUAAAAAAACUAUUUUGAUAUUUAAAUAAUAAAUUUAAGAUAAAUUCACCUGUCGAAUAAGAAAAAUAGAAAAUGCAUUAGGAGAUUGGAAUUUAAAAAAUGUCUUAAUUAAGAUUGAUAAAUUAAAGACGUCAUAAUUAACAUCGAUGAGUUGAAAAGUUAAAGAAGAUUUAUCAAACUAAAUUUGAAAUUCAAAUGUAAGAAUAGAAAUUAUCUCAUUAAAGUUAAACUUCAAAUUCUAAAAAAUGAUGUCUAUUAUGAGUGCGAGAGUUUAAAAAAAAAAUUUAUAAUAUGGUUAUAAGAUUCAAGGUCCACUAUUAAGUACGUUCAUACAAUAAAUCACUUCAAAACCUAAUAGAAACUAAUGUUUAAAGAAUUUAUAGUUAUAAGAAUUAUUGAAAAUAAAUACCAUAAUUAAUAUAAUAAAUUAUAAAACUUAAAUCUAAACAGUAAAAAAAUAAAUUAAGUUUUUUUUUUUUAAUGUUGAUAUGUGUAUAUUUAUCUCAUCCGCAUCCUUAUCUUCAUUUUAAAUUACUAUAACAUAUUUAAUUUAUUUAAUUUUCUAUUUUAAAAAUUAUAAAUUUUUUUUUUACAUAGAGGAAUGCAACAUAUAUCUUUUUUUUACAGUAAAUUUUUGAUAAUAUAUUUUUUUUAUCUUUCUUUUUUAAAAAUAUUUAAUAAAUUUUUUAACAAUACAAAAGUAUAUAUUAGUCAACGAAAAUAAGAUAGAACACAAAAUUUUAUAUUAUAAAAUAUAAAAACAAAGAUAAUAUAACACUACAAGAAAAUUAUUAAAUAAAAAUCAAUUUUAGAGAAAAAUAUAAUUAGUUGCUAUAUUGACUAAAUUAGAUAUUAUUUUAGAGACUAAAAAAAUUAUUGAUUUCUAAAUUAGUAUCUAAUCAACUAUCAAUUUUUUUUAUCAAAUCUAAAAUCUAAAUAAUUUGUAGUUAAAAUUUUGUUAGUUACUUAAAUACUAAUUUAGAAACUAUUUACUAAUUUAGAAAUUAAUAAAAGACUUUUGAAAUUAUUUUCCUUCGUUUAAAUUUUAUCUUCAUAAUAAGAGUAAAAUAUAAUUGAUUUGAAUAAUUUUAAUUACAUUUAAUAAAAAAAUAAUUUUUAUAAUCAACACUAUUUAUAUCAUUUUAAUAGUUAACUUAAAUAUCAUAUUUUAUUAUUAAAAAAUAAUAACAUUCUAUUUAUAUUAAGAAUGAAAAAUAAUAAUCAUGUGAGCCUAUCAGUAUGCUAUAUUUUUAAUUUAUACUUUUCAAAACCAUAUAAAACAUUAUAUAUGUCAUGGUAAAAGGUAAAAUUCAAGUCUUACCUAUUAGUUUUCUAUUAAAUAUUUUAUGAAAAGGUAAAAAUGUUAUUGAGUUUGGUAAUAUUAUAGAUUUUUUUCAUUAAAACAAAUAACAUAGUAUUAAAUGAAAUGGUAAAUGGUAAAUUUGAUUGUUGAGGGGGAAAAUGGAAUGUUAUAGGUUUAAGUGUUACUUUAAUUAAUAUAAAAAUGUUGAAACACAAAAGGUGUACUCAUUCCAAAUUUUAGGGAAUGGAUAUAGCAAAGCCGUUUUAUUUGAAAUGUUGAAAUGUUAGUGUGUUUCCUCUGAAACAGUGUUAAAAAGAAUAAAAUGGUAAAAGUCAAUAAUGUUGAUAUGUAUCUCAGUGCAAUAAACUAUAUGGCCAUAUAUAGAUAGAGAUUGCAACUAUUCAACUUUAUCUAAUGCCUCUAUUUUUUUAUGCUUCCCAAAUAGUUACGUUCUUUUUUUUAUGGUAGAUGGUUUAGUUGUUAGGCUAUAUAGGGAAUACCAAAAAAAAAAAUUUUCUUUGUUAGAUUAUUUUUCCAAUUUCAAAUUUGUUAAUAUAACAUUAUUAUCAUCAAUUAUUAAAUUUAAGAUAUAGUCCAUCUUGAAAUUUAAAAUUUUGUUAUAUUUAAAAAAAAAAAAAAAACAUCUUGAGUGGAUUAAGCACUAAAAAAAAUCAUGAAAUAAAAACCAAUUUUAGAAUUUUAGAAAUAGAAAAUAAUUAGUUGUUAUAGUGACUGGAUCAAAGAUCAUUUUAGAAACUAAAAAAACUUUUAGUUUCUAUUAUUGCUAAAUGGUUUAUAAAUUGGUAUCUAACUAGCUACCAAAGUUUUUGCUACCAAAUUUAGAAUCUAAAUAAUUGGUAAUUAAAACCUUGACAACUAAUUAGAUACCAAUUUAAAAAUUAUUUAACAAUUAUAUAAACUAAUUUAGAAAUCAACAUUUUUUUUAGUCUUUAAAAUGGUCUUUAAUUUUGUCACUAAAAUAAUUAAUUAUUAUUGGUCUCUAAAAUUAAUUUCUAUUUCAUGAUUUUUUUGUAAUAAAGAGAUAAAUAUAUAUUUAAAAUGUAAAUAAAUUUGACUUCUAAGUAAUAUGAGACUAAUAUGUGUAUCGGAACAAGUCUAUAGUAGAAGUCUAAGAAGAAAAAAUUCUCCUAAUCGAGAACUAAGAAAACAAUAAUUUAUUUUUAGAUUUUUUCAAUCUUUACAGACAACGUUAAUUUUUUAACCUCAAGUCCACCAGGAUAAUAUCAUUAAAAUCAAUUACCACUUUCAAAAUAUUAUCUAUUUUAAAACUUGAAAUUUCAUUGUAAUUUUAUCUUUUAAAAAUGACACGGUGAAUUAAAAGAUAUAGAUCUGUUUAAAAUAUAAUUAAUUUAUACUCUAAACAUAAAUUUACAGUACCUAUAUAAACAUUUUGGUGGGUUAAAGUCUAUAUAUGGUUCUUCUUUCUCAUACAUUAAGUCAACGCAUAAAAUAAGACGCAACAUAUUAAGUUUUGCCUUUGUUGUUUUGAAAAAUAAAACUUUAUUCAUGUCGAUUAUGUUAGAUACAAAUACACAUAAUUAAAUCAAAACAAUUCAUUAAAUAUUACCUAAUACAUUAUAAGGAAAACUAUUCUGUUCAUUUUUCAUCUUGUUAGAUCAGAAACAGUCACACUAUUAUUAAGAAUGAAAAUCGUCUCGGUUCAGUGGACUUGGAAAAGCUGAAUGAUGAAUUGGUUUAUAAAUGUAAAAUGAUAUUUUUUUUUAUUCUUUAAAACAAUUUGUUUUGCAGGAAAUAACGUGUUUAGGUGAUUACAAUUUUUUGUUAAACAUUUUAUUAAAACUAAAAAUAAUAGUGCAGUUAAAUUAAGUGAGGUAAUGUUAUAGAAAAAACUUUAGUCAGAAGAAAUAAUAUAAUAUUAAAUGAGAUGGUAUACGUGAAAUUUUAUUUAUGAAGGGUAUAAUACUUUAGCAUAAAGAAACACAGUAGAUAAAUGAAAUAAAAUCUUAUUAAAUAAAUCAAUUUUAGUCAAAGUUUAUAACCUAAACAAAUAAUUGCAAAGUAACUAAAACAACUUGUCAACCACACUCAUAAUUGUUGUUUAAAAUGAUUAAUAAAUUAUAAACUUAGGUUAUAACCUAUUACCUAUAUUACUCAAAUCUCCUUACCAUUAUAUACUAACUAGUGAAUGUUAAAUUUUAAAAAAGAAAUGUUUUAUUCACAUAUGAACGGUAAAAAACAUAUAUUUGAGAUUGUUUAUAAUAAUAUAAUAUUUUUUUUAAAUUAAAAGAUAAAAUAAAUAAAAUAAAAAUUUAUUAAAGUGUGAAGUUUUUACUGUUAAGAAUGUUAAUAUAUUAAAACAAAUAAAUAAGAAUGAAUACUGUGGUCAGAAUUUAUAUGGCAUGGAUUAACUUAUAGAUUCCAAUUUAAUUGUUGUCUUUGUGGAAAGUAAAAUGAUAAAAUCUUCAAAAAGCAAAUAAUUAAAACUUUAAACUUAAUUUUUUCAUAUAUAUAUAUAUAUUUAUAUUAUUUUGAAAACAAAUUACGAGUUAGUUUAUUCUGACCCUUAAGUGACCCAUUAGUUUAGUAUAUUAAAUAGAACAUGUCAUAACAUGUUAGUGAAUUAAAUACCUAGUUUUGUCUAAGUUUAUUAUGUUAUUCUUAAUUUAAAAAAUAAAAAAUUCAUUAAAAUCACAAAAAAUCAAUAAAAAAUAAUUAAUUUUUAAAAAAUAAAAUAAAUAAUUAGUAUAUUACUUAAACUAAUCCAAAUUUAUUCAAGCAAAACCAAAAGUCUAUAAAAUUAUAACAACGAAAAUAGCACGACAUCAAUCGAUGACGAAGAAUAUCCUUUUCAAUCCAUGUUUGAAAAGUAUCUGAACGAAUCCAAGAGAAAAAUAGAAAGUUUUUUUAUUUUAUAAAAGUAUUUAGAUUUUUAAAACAUUAUAUUUUGCAGUUUUAUCAACCCUAGUUGCACAGUUGUCAACUGAGGGAUCACACUCCAAGAACUUCACGUGUUUCACUAUUUUAACUUUCAUUCAUUAUAAGUAACACGCUAAUCCACAAAAUCUUUUCCUUUUGACUUUAGAACUGACAAAUUUAACACUUCUUGAUGGCAAGUCAGAGUUAUUUUCUUAAAAUAUAAAAACAACUUAUUUUAAAAAUGUCAGAAAAAAAUAUUUUGUGAGAAAAUAAAUAGAAAAUAGGAAAUUUUCUGACAUUGGAAAUUAUGUUAUGAGUGAAGUGUGUAGUCAAAAAAGGCAACCCAGUGCAUGGUCAAAGAAUUAAUGGUGGAAAAGCUCUUACACGUUUCUCUGUUCCCACGCAAACAUGGUCCCAAUUUUUAGUCUCUAAUCUAUCUAAACCUUAGAAAUGGACAAACCGACAAACUAUGAAAAUGGUUUUUCUAUUUCAUACCAAAAACUGUUCUUAGUGUAUACUUUUCAUAUCACUAUCUUUUACAUUUUAUUAUUUAUCUGAGGAAUAAGAUGGGUUCAUCCAAAUCACCACGUAAAAUAGAAAAUAAUAAUGAUUCUAGAUGAAGAAAUAAGAUACCACAACACCAGUCACUGGAUGGAGACAGAUUCAGAUCUAAGUUAAAUAAGUCUUCGUAUCUUCAUAAUUCAUCUGUAUUGAAAUUUGAACCUUUUUUUUUCAAUGAUUUCUAUACUAAAUAAACAUUUAACAAAUAUAUGAAUUUGCUUAUAGUAUAUUACGUUUGAGGGAUGCAAAUAUUUCCCAUAUUAAGUUUAUAACAUUUAAUAUAUAAAUAAGUUUAAAAUUUAUUUUCUANNNNNNNNNNNNNNNNNNNNNNNNNNNNNNNNNNNNNNNNNNNNNNNNNNNNNNNNNNNNNNNNNNNNNNNNNNNNNNNNNNNNNNNNNNNNNNNNNNNNNNNNNNNNNNNNNNNNNNNNNNNNNNNNNNNNNNNNNNNNNNNNNNNNNNNNNNNNNNNNNNNNNNNNNNNNNNNNNNNNNNNNNNNNNNNNNNNNNNNNNNNNNNNNNNNNNNNNNNNNNNNNNNNNNNNNNNNNNNNNNNNNNNNNNNNNNNNNNNNNNNNNNNNNNNNNNNNNNNNNNNNNNNNNNNNNNNNNNNNNNNNNNNNNNNNNNNNNNNNNNNNNNNNNNNNNNNNNNNNNNNNNNNNNNNUGCUAUAAAUAAGAAACCCUAAAUCUUAUUCCCUUUCCCAGUUGCUUUCACACCCUUUACCAAAUAAUGCAUUUAGCUUUACUAACAAUAGAAAAUGGCACAAUGUAGUACAAAAAUCUAGCAUAUAAUUUUGUUUGACCUUUUAAGUCUUAUUUAUGGUUAGACAAACCUAAAGCACCAAUAAUAGGGAAGACAGUGUAGUACAAACCUAUUUACUAGGAAUCAGGUUUCUCUUUCAGAAACCUUUUUGGAAGGGUAUCUUUAAAGUGUUCAAACUUAUAUUUCAAAAAGUGUUUAAAAUUUAUAUUUCGAAAAGAGUUUAAAAUUUAUACAUUAAUUAAUGAAGCAAGUACUUUUAUACAAUCAAUUAUGAAUAGUGUAAGAAAUCAUUCUAAAAUAGUAAUUGCAAAAAAAUCAAGAAUAUGACUUGUAAAAAAAAAUAAUGAAAUAGAAAUUAAUUUUUAGAGACCAAAACAAUUAGUUGUAAUAGUAACUAAAUUAGAGAUCAUUUUAGAAAGUAAAAGAAAAAUUGAUUUCUAAAUUAGUUUUUAUUAUUGUUAAAUAAUUUUUAAAUUGAUAUCUAAUUAGCAACUAAAGUUUUAACUACCAAUUAUUUAAUUUUUAAAUUUGGUCUCUAAAACCUUGGUUAAUAAUUAGAUACCAAUUUAGAAACUAUUUAACAAUAAUAGAAUUUAGAGACCAAUUUUUUUUUUAGUUUCUAAAAUGGUCUCUAAUUUAGUUACUAUUGCAACUAAUUAUUUUGGUUUCUAAAAAUUGGUUUCUAUUUCAUGAUUUUCUUGUAGUGAUCUAAUUGGUGAGUAUAAAAAAUUCUUAUGCAACAUAUUAUUUUUUUCUUUGAAAACAAUUGAAAUUUUACACUUUAAAAGAAACAGUUUUUGAAAUAUAUUAAUAUUAAGUAUAGUUUGAAAACAAAAAAAUUGGCAUACUUAUUUAUCUAAAAAUAAUGUUUCAAAUAUUAUUUUUCAGUUUUUUAAAAAAUCAGAAAAAACAGAAAAGGGACGUGAAGAAAAGGAAAAUUAAAAUUAAACCUGCCAUUAACUAUCACCUCAUUAAAAAAAAAACUAUUACCUCCUGAGUUCAUAAAAAGAGAGUUGAAUGAGGCCGUAACAUCCAUCAACUUUAUCCCAGGGAGUUCUCUGUAACUUCCAAUUCACUUUCACCUAUCAUUACAAGAAAAUCAUGAAACACAAAUUAAUUUUAGAAACCAAAUAAUUAGUUGUAAUAAUAACUAAAUUAGACAUCAUUUUAGAAACUAUAUAAAAAAUUAGUUUAUAUUAUUGUUAAUUAAUUUCUAAAUUGGUAUCUAAUUAACCAAGGUUUUAACUAUCAAUUAUUUAGUUUAUAAAUUUGGUCUCUAAAACAUUGGUCGCUAAUUAGAUACCAAUUUAAAAACUAUUUAACAAUAAUAGAAACUAAUUUAGAAACCAACAUUUUUUUAGUUUCUAAAAUAGUCUCUAAUUUAAUUAUUAUUGUAACUAAUUAUUUUGGUGUCUAAAAAUUAAUUUUUAUUUUAUUAUUGUGCUAUAGGAGUAGGCUACAACUAUUAUUUUGUUCACUAAUGUAAUACGUUUCUAAAAUAAACAAAAUCUUCUGGCUAAGAAACUAGGAAAUCCAGAAUCUAUGAACUACAAUCUAGCAGUUGUCCUAGACUAAGAAAAAGAAGAACUAGGUCUCUGAUGUGGCUUCUGCAUUGUGAUUUUCCGUUAAAAUCAACAACAGUAGAAAUCGAAGAAAAACCAAAAUAUUUAUUCUGCAACCACCACAUGCUAAGUACUAAUUCACACUUAAUGCUAACAAUAAUCGGAACAGACAAUAAGAAUGCUUGUUU
rnacentral:lncRNA from 1 species